rnacentral:lncRNA from 1 species
UACAGAUAGUUAUUGAUGGGCUUACUUCACUUGAACGAGAAACUAUUCAAAACAGGAAAAAGAGGAAAGAUGAUGAUGCAUGUGAUCAUAAUUUGGUUUUGAUUUCUCAAUCAAGUCAAAUAAAUCAACGUGUAGGAGGAUAUGUGUUAACAGAUCCUCUGCAAUCACAAUGUAAAGGCAAAAAAAGGCUGCAAAGGUUCAAGCCACCUCUUGAAAAGAAAGCUAAGAAAUCUAGGACAUGUCAAAUAUGCAAAAAGAAAAGCCAUAAUAGGUGAACUUGCAAAGAGGCUUCCAAUAUAUUCGAUGAUAAUCCUCCACACUCGAGAUAGACAGCAAUGAAAGCCGUGAAAAUGAUGAAGAUAGUGAAGAAUAAAAUUAGUAUUUUUUUGGAUGUUUAAUGUACUAUGCACUUUGGAAGUUCAAAUAUUGUAUUUUAGAUAUUUAAUGUACUAUAUACUUUGAAAGUUCAAAUGUUGUAUUUUAGAUAUUUAAUGUACUUGUUUGGCUGUUGUAAUUUAUUUAGAAUGUUGGAUGUGAUGUUGUAUCUUUUUGGAUGUUGUAUUUUAGAUAUUGUAUUUUGUGAUAUUUAAGAUACUUUGGAUAUUUUGUUUCCAAAGUUGAAUUCUCAAUUUGAAUGUGUAAUACAAUUUGGAUGUUCAAAUAUUGUAUUUUAGAUGUUUAAUAUAUUUGUUUGGAUGUUAUAAUUUAUUUGGAAUGCUGGAUGUGAUGUUGUAUCUUUUUUGGGUGUUGUAUUCUAAAUAUUAUAUUUUGUGAUGUUUAAGAUACUUAGGAUAUUUUGUUUUCCAAUAUUGAAUGCUUAAUGCAUUUUUUAUGUUCAAAUGUUACAUAGAUAUUUAAUAUAAUUAAAAUAUUUAAUUUGGAAUGUUGGAUGUAUAAAGUACUUUGGAUAUGUUAUUUCAAAUGUUAUAAAUAGAAAGGAAACUUACAACUCAUUCAUAUAUAAAAGUUUAUUUGACCUUAAAGAAACAAGAGGAAACUUACAACUCAUUCACAUAUAAAAGUUCAUUUGAAUAUAAAGAAAUAGAGAGAAAACUUACAAUAUUCAUAUACAAAAGUUCUUACAUGACAUCUAGAAAUUAAAUAAAACUUUAAUAAUUAACAAACAAAGUAGGAACAAAAAAAAUACAUUUUCUUCUCAUAAUCCCUUUUGUUUGCAUUAACCCUUGCCGACAGUUCUUUGAAUUUGGCUUUCAGGAUCUGAAUUUCUUCGUGCAUCUCAUUUACUUGAUCCAACAGUUGUUGCUUUGAAGAUAUCUCGGAUGUUAUUUUUGAUGCGUGAUCUAAAAAUUUAUCGAUUUUUGAAUUAUUUAAGCUACCAAUGCUGGAUGUAUCUUUAUGUUUUAGAUCACGCCACAUGAAAAAAUCACAAUAAUUUUCAGAGAUCUUUCCGUAUUUCGGACAUCCAAAAAUUAUUUUCCUUUGCUCUUAGGUUGUUGUGAAACUCGAAAAACAGCUGGUUCAUUACAAUUGCAACGAACAACUCUACUUUCUCCAGAAUUUUCUUUAGACCAACCCAUCGCAUGGAAUACUUAUUUUCAGAUAACCUGCAUUCAAAGCUAUUAAUUAGUAUAUUAAGUUGAAAAAAUUUACAAAAAACUUGCAUUAAGGAAAAUUUUUGGGGGAAGGGUGGCUUCAGGCAGCUUUUUUUUUCUUUUCUUUUUUUUUUUGCUUCUAGGUAGUGAAGGGUGAGAGGUUGGGGGUGCGGCGCACCAGUGCGCACGUGCGCGCGAGGGGGGAUGGGCGGCGCACCUACCUGCGCCCGUGGGGUGGGGGUUGCGGUGCACCUGCUAGCACUACCCCAAGGGCGAGACGAGCGGCGACGUCGUUGCAAGUAUUACUACCCUCUACACCACCCGUGCUAGGACUCUUUUCGAUACUAGAGCAUCUCAUUUAUUCAUAUUGCUUUCAUUUGCACGUGAGCAUGAUUUCUCACCGAGUCCACUCUCUUCGGCGCUCCCGAUUGAGACACCCAGAAUUGUUCUAGAAGCAGACAGAUGCAUCAUGUCGUGCCUCGUUGUUUUGGGCAAUAGGGCGUUCCUGGCGAACCUGGUGUUGAUCCCGAUUAAAGAGUUUGAUGUGGUGCUUGGGAUGGACUGGCUCAUCAGACACCACGCUUCUAUAGAUUGCGAGCGGAGGAUUGGAGGAUUGGAGGAUUGUGACAUUCGUGGUGCCCGAUGAAGAGGAGUUCGUCUACAAAGCAUGUAAGAGCUCCUUUUUCGCCAUGACUAUCUCUUCAGUUAGGGCAAAAAGGCUUAUGAAUGACGGAUGCGUGGCCUAUCUAGCUUCGGUGGAUGUCAUCCGCCGGGCGGCAACAGCGUUGGAGGAGAUUUCGAUGGUUCGAAAGUUCCCUGACAUAUUUCCAGCAGAGCUACCGGGGAUGCCUCCAGACCGGGAGAUCGAGUUCUUUAUUGCGUUGGUCCCCGGCACGACACCGAUCUCGAAGGCUCCUUACCGAAUGGCCUUCGCUGAGCUGAAGGAGCUAAAAGCUCAGCUCGAGGAUCUGCCGGAUAAGGGAUUCAUCAGACCUACUGUAUCUUCCUGAGGUGCACCAGUCCUCUUCGUCAAAAAGAAGGACAGUAGUCUGCGGCUAUGCAUCGACGAUCGGGAGCUUAAUAAGGUCACGGUGAAGAAUAUGUAUUCUCUUCCUCGGAUCGAUGAUUUAUUCGACCAGCUUCAAGUAUCAUCUGUUUAUUAGAAGAUUGAUCUGCAGUCUGGUUAUCACCAACUGAAGAUCCGAGCCGAAGAUGUGCCAAAGACAGCUUUCCGAACUCGUUACGGCCACUACGAGUUCACGGUGAUGCCGUUCGGGCUCACUAAUACUCCGACUGCCUUCAUGGAUAUGAUGAAUAAGGUCUUUCGGCUAUUUUUAGAUUAGUUUGUCGUGGUCUUCAUUGACGACAUUUUGAUCUACUCGUAGAGUGAGGAAGAACACAAGGAUCAUCUAUGACUAGUACUCCAGCUACUUCGAGAGAACAAGCUUUAUGCUAAGUUCAAGAAGUGCGAGUUCUGGCUCCGCAAGGUGUCCUUCUUGGGGCACAUCGUGACUCAAUCAAGUAUCAUGGUGGACCCAAAGAAGGUGGCUUCAGUGGUUGAGUGGCCUAGACCAACCACGGUGGCCGAGAUCAGGAGUUUCCUUGGUUUGGCAGGUUAUUAUCGGCGAUUUGUUGAAGGCUCUGCCAAAAUCGCCACAUCGUUGAACAGGUUGACGAGAAAAGGGAAAAAGUUUUGGUGGACUCCUGAGUGUUAGCAGAGCUUUAAGGAGUUGAAGGAUAGAUUGACCCGUGCACCCAUUUUGACCUUACCGUGACCUAGUAAGGACUUCAUGGUCUAUUGUGAGGCCUCACGGGUAGUAUUGGGGUGUGUGCUCAAGCAGUAGGACCGGGUCAUUGCUUACACAUCAAAUAACGUGGGUGACUUUAAGUGCUAUAUACACGGCUAGUUCAUCUAUUCUAUUACUAUAUACUAAAGUAGAACCCUUUAUGAACCCUAUGUGAGAAGCUGACACGUGGCUUUCUAUAUGCUUGCCACGUGUUAAGCUCAAAUAUAGAUUUUUACUAUAUUAUUAAAUUCAAAUGGUAGGUGGAUUAAUGAGAUAUUUGAGAAAUUUACGGAUAUUACGUUGCGAAAGAAUUGGCGGGUGCGAAUAUUACGCGUGAGAAGGAAAAUAUUUGAGAAACGCGUAGAUAGAAAAUAUGAUAUAUAUGCGAGGGUAAUAUUGUCACAAAAAGUAACAGAUACUUUUAUUUUCAAUCAUUAGAUAAGAUCUAACGGCAAAAAAUUUACGUUGCGAAAGAAUUGGCGGGUGCGAAUAUUACACAUGAGAAGAAAAAUAUUUGAGAAACGCGUAGAUAGAAAAUAUGAUAUAAAUGCGAGGGUAAUAUUGUCAAAAAAAUAACAUAUACUUUUAUUUUCAAUCAUUAGAUACGAUCUAAUGACAAAAAAUUAAUAUCUUUUACUAUAUUAUCAAAAAUCACAUAUAAUGAAGGGGAUUUUAUUUCAAAGUCACCUAUAAUUAUAUUGAGAUAUUUGAGAAAUUCACGGAUAUACGUUGCGAAAGAAUUGGCGGGUGUGGAUAUUACGCGUGAGAAGGAAAAUAUUUAUCUUUAUUUGAGAAUAAAUUAUUACUUACUUAGUUAUUUGAAAUGAUUGGUUGAAAAUUACUGGACAUAAAAAUAUUAGUAAAAAAGGAUAGGGGCAUUUUUGGAAAGAGAAAAAAAUUCAAAACUCACGCUUUUAUAAGUAGUAUAGAUAUAGAUAUUGCAUGUCACUUUCCUACUAUCACUCCUUCUAUAAUUUUCAUUUUGUAAUUUUUUUUUCCCUUUGUAAUUUUCUUAGUUCUUAAAUAUUGAUGCUUUAAAAUAGAACAUAUUAUUUUCAUUUUAUUAUUUAAAUACGAAGCAAGUAUUAAUUUUUUUUCUUGGAUGUCUUAUUGUUCUCAGGAUAUGGCACUUGGGUAUGAUUCUAUACGUAACAUCACUCCUCUUGGAGACAAAUGAAAGAUCAAGGUCAAAGUGAUUUGUCUGUAUACUAUGCCUGAAUUUCAUCGUCCAGAGGUGGUGAAUAGCCUAGAGUUAGUUCUUUCUGAUCAAAAUGUAAGAUACGACUUUCAUUUUCAAAUUGAACAUACGUUUGCUUUUGUUUUUACUAAAAGAUACUACAUCAUUUGUUUAUUUUCUAUUUUAGAGAGAUAGGAUACAUGUAACGGUAAGAAAAGCUUUCUUGAACAAAUUUAAAGUCCUUUUUACGGAAGGAAAGGUUUAUGUGAUCAACCAGUUUGGAGUGGUGCAGAGUAGCGGCUCCUACAGGACCACUAUACAUCCUUACAAAAUAAAUUUUCAAUAUUCUACGGUUGUAUGUGAGAUGGAAGAUGUUUUGACAAUAUCAAAGUAUGGAUUUAUAUUUACCCCUUUCGAUGAAAUACUUGCUAAUGUCGCUAAUCACAAAUAUUUAGUAGGUAAGAGUUGUUUCAUGCAUCAAAUAUUUAAUUUUUAAAAUUUAAUUUUUAAUAUGUGUACCUACUAUAUUGAUUCUUACAUUUUAUUUUUCUAAUUUAUCAGAUGUUAUUGGGAAGCUUUCUGGAAUUAGUAGAAUGGAAGAAAGCUGCAAGGACGGUAAAUAAACAAAAAAGAUUACGAUACUACUUGAGGAUGACAAGUAGGUGCUCAUAAUUAUAAAUAUAUCUUUUGAAUGUUUAUAUAUAUUUUUUUUCAGUUAGCUGAUUAUUAUUAUAAAUAAAUGACUAGAUUGACAGUUAUAUCCAAAACAAAUUAUAUUGUAUUUAUCAAUCUGAUAACUUUAUAAUACGACACUCAUGUCUACAUCUUAAAUAACGGUACUUCACGUUCUUUGAGAAACAUAGACAAGUCUUCAGGUUUAUGCAAUGGAACCAGAUUAGUGAUCACUCAAUUGGGAAAAUACAUACUAGAAGCAAAAGUGAUCUUUAGGAGCAAUAUUGGGGAGAAGGUGUUUAUAUCCUAUAUGGUGAUUACUCCAUCAGACUCUAAGUUACCUUUUAAAAUACAAUGAAGGCAAUUCCCGUUGGCUGUUUGUUUUACUAUGACAAUAAACAAGAGUUAAGGUCAAUCGUUAUUACAUGUUGGCUUAUAUCUACCUAGACCGAUAUUCAGUUAUGGUCAGUUAUAUGUUGCAAGGACGGAUUGAAUAUUCUAAUUUAUGAUAAAGAUGGUUUGUUAUCCAAAACCACAAGCAAUGUGGUUUUUAAAGAAGUGUUUCAGAACUUAAAAUAGGUGAGUGGUUUAUUUUUCUUCAUUUUAUUUCAAAAUUUACAAUUUUUCAACAAUUCAACUCUGCCAUUUUUUUAAAAAAUAAAUUUAGAUAUUUUUCUGAAAAAUUCAGUAAUAUUAUGAUAUUUAUCAUUUCACUUAUCUAACAAUUUAUCUAUAUUGUUAUUUGAGCAGGCACUUUCCAUCUUCAUGGAACAAAGUUUUUUUUCUUUAUAUUUUCUUGAAGACCAACAUCUAUAUAUUUUUGAAUCUUAAAAGUUUGUAUAUCUCUCAUAUAUGAAAGUUUAGUUGAUCUCAUUAUAUGCUUAAAUAUUAAUGUCAUUUGUAAUUUUUCAUAUCAAUUUUAGUUAUCAUUUUGUUUUGCACAUUAAUAUGUAAAUGUAAAUUAUUUUGUACACCAAUUCAUAGAUAAUAGAGCAGGGUUGAAUUUUGCUUUUUACUUGAGUAUUUACUUUGGUCUAUAAUUUUUUUCUCUAACUUUUGUACUUUAAUAUGUACUAAAAUUAAGAUUGAUAGUAUAUUUCUUUAUUUGUUAAAAAAAAUGUUAAUUAGAAUAUUUUUUUUAUCAUCACAUAAUAACUUUUGUUAUUUUAUAUUAUUAUAUUAUCCGUGCAUGUCACGCCCCGAGGUCCCUUUUAGUUUGAAACACAGCGGAAAAGAGUCUUUGAAAACCUGACCACGGGGUAUACCAAAUCCGCCACAAAUACAGAAAAUUCACCGUUUACACGGAUAGAGUCUCCCCUGUAUUUGCACGGCAUCGCACAAGUACAAAAGUACAAACAGAGUAUAACCAGGAUACAACCACAAUACAUGAAUAUACAAUACUCAACAUGCAUUCACCAUUCACCAAAUAUUUACCAUUCAGUGUUUAAAUAUAGAAGCCACGAGAAAACUCUUUUGAAAGCUGUUUUCCACACGGAAACCUUUUCUUUUUAAAACACGCUACCACGAGGGGUAGAAAACUAUUUUUCUUUUUCACAAAAUCCACGAGUUCUAUAGUUUAUUCAAAAUCACAUGAAUUCGAAUAAUAUAAACCAAUUGAACCAUGAAAUAUUAAAGCUAUUAAUAACAAAAGUAAACAGGAUAGGAACUAAACCAACAAACUGGGUCGGAAGCUCUAGCGACCACUACGAACGUGUCUCACGUCUCGUCUCAACUCUCACCGCCCGCGAUACUUGAAAAAUGGCGGGGGAGGUGAGAACAUGUAAACAUGUCUCCCCUCCCAGUGGGUACCAAAAGCCGAUGAAGGCGAGGAGUACUCACCGGAUCAGGAAGAGCUAAACAACAGUACGGGUCAGUAGAAAAUACAGCAGUGAUAAUAAUGAAUGAAAGAGACAUAUAUAUGAAAGAAAGUACAACUACCGCUACUGUAAUGAACAACUGAAUGUAUACCUGCAACAAGACUAUAGUAGCAAGAAAAUGUAACUAAAGAACUGAAGGUAUACAAGCGACAACAGCUACUAUAGUUAUAUGCGUCAACCAGACGAUAAGUCCAAAAUACCCAAUCUGUAAUGGCCGUAUUGGUACCCAACACCUCAGGCCAAUGCCCAUCUACUCUGACAGAAACAAGCCAUAUUGGUACCCAACACCUCAGGCUGAAAGCACAUAACCACACUAGGGCUCACGGGUUGACACAAGCAACCACUUUUCCGGAAAAGAACACCCUCUUGUGGUGGAUCAGACCGCUGGUGUUCAUGAAAUGCGACGAGUAUCGGGCGGUCAAUGCUGAUAUGCUCAAAGGCCAAACGUUGGCAACCAGCCGACAAUCCUGCCCACAGGGCUCAUCGACCGUAUAGGUCAUCAACUGUAAGGAAGCACAAGAACUGACCACUCAGGUCAACUAGGAUGGGACAACAUCAACAUCCUCUCAAACAUAUGCAAAUACUGUUCAAUGAACCACAAGAACUGACCACUAAGAUCAACUGGGAUAUAUGCACAACGAAUCGACGAAUAAAUCAUCAGGGUGUAUCAAUAGAAUUCAGAACUACCAUCGGCCACUAGCCAACAAUCCAACCCCUCUAGAGUACAUCGACCACGACGGUCAUCAAACGACAGAAGUCAAGGAACCGACCGAAUGUGUCACAACUACGGGAUACAAGAACAGACCAACCAGAUCACUGAUACGAAGUACGAGAACUAACCAACCAGGUCACUGAUACGAAGUACAAGAAUCGACCUACCAAGUCACUGAUAUGAAGUACAAGAAUCGACCUACCAAGUCACUGAUAUGAAGUACAAGAAUCGACCUACCAAGUCAACAGAUACGCACAUAGAUAGAACCACUCUACUCCUACUCAGGAUACUAAGCAUGCAAACAACGAGUAGAGUAUAAUGGAAUAACAUGGGUGCAAGGCUCAAUAUAUACUAUGCAAUAAUAACAACAGAAGAGUAAGGGUAAGAAACCAUCACCAAGCGUGCACCACUGUACCGACGUCGGAUCGAAGUACCCACCUGUACAAAUGUCGCACCUGUCUCCUGACUGCAAAAGAACAUCAACCAGACCUAAGGAGGGUCCACUGGGUUAGUUUCCAACCUACAAACAAUAAACGCUGAAUCUACAACUCCACAAACUAAAACCCACGGAUAUCGGUUUUCCAAAACCGAUUACCGUAACUCGCCGGAAGUCUCGAAAUCGCACCGGGACUCCGUAGGGACCCACGAACUGUCCCGGAACGUACCGACUCGUGCUACGAGUCAUCCGCUGCCACUAAACAUCAAUAAUCGUGCAUCAUGGCAGCAAACACCACUCCUCACGUCGAAACAACUAUCGUCGGAUAAUCGUUUCGAUCCGGGUUCCCGGAAGUGUCAAUUUCGACUUCGGAACCCACCGUCGCUCACCCGUCAUGUUUGAACUCUCGAAAUGACGCGAGUGACCAGCCAACAAGGCUCAGCGACUACACAAUAGUUCACGAAGCACCAUCGGAAUAAUUCCGAACCGAACUCACGUUCCGUCGGCGGAUUUCGCCGAAAAAUGCGCCGGAAAUGCAUUUCCAAUCUUCGCAAAGGUCUGGGGCGUUGGACAAUCAGUCCAGAGGUCACCCACUGUAACACACUGGAUCUUUGCAAAUUACGAGGUUCGAGUGUUUGGAUGUAUUUCGAGCUUUUCCACACUUGGUGGAGGGUUGUGGAAUGUUUUUCGACCUAAAAAGUUCGAAAAUCGAAAUUCUGGAGAAGUCCUGAGAGUUUUCACUCUCGGGGACCGGUCCCUGGGAGGAGAGACCGGUCCCCCAGUGAGCAGUACUGCGGCAGCCUUGAGGCAACUGGUCCCUGGCGGGCGAGACCAGUCCCCGAGCGCGUCUACGCAGUGAGAGACCGGUCCCGCGCAAGGAGAGACCGGUUCCCGAACGCUGGUUUUUCGGGUUCGCAACGAGAGACCGGUCCCUGCUGGGGAGAGACCGGUCCCUAUGGGCGAAAACUGCCCAGACCGGGCUGAUGUAAUAUUGGAUUUUUGUUGAGCCUCUUAGGAUUUUGUUACAAUAGAGGGUCUAUAUGAUCCCUCCACUCUCUCCUCUCCCCAUUUCUCUUCUCUCAACCCUCUCUACACCCUUGAUAGAGAAGAAGAAGAAGAAGGAGAAGAAGAAGAAGAAGAGAGGGAGAAGAAGUUUGGUGCUACUAGUGGACUUGGGGCAUCUUCCUCACCUUCUCAUCUUCCUUGGUGCUUGAAGGCUUGGACUUGGAGCUUGCAAAGAGAGAGAUCUUCACCCUUGGAGCUUGGAUUGGAGCUUCUAUGGAGGUUUGUUGCUCAUUCCCUCCCUCUAGACCUUGAUUUGAGGAUUUUUAGUAGAUGGAACCCUAGUUUUGAGACUUAGGGUUUAUUUUGGGCUUUUUGAACCUAGGGCUUUUGAGGCUUGAUUGGUUGGUUUAGAACCUUCCUAGGGCUUGGAUUGGAAGGCUUCUAGCUCUCUUUUGGAGCUUAGGAGAAGAUUUCUACUAUUGAGGUAAGUUUUGGCCCUUUUUGCUCCUAGGCUAAUGUUUGAUAUUAUAAUUAAGAUGGUCGUAAUGCCUUCGUAUCUCUUCGCUGAUUACUUUUAGGAUAUUUUGAGACUCGGGGACAACUUUGUUCGGCGAAACGAGGCGCUACGCGACGGUUCGAUGGGUUUGACCUAGCCUACACAUGAGAAAUUCUCAUAAGUGGUUAUAUAUGUUCCGUAAAUUGAAAAAGCAUGCAUAUUCAUACUAAAUGUAUUUAUUAUGAUUUUUAGAAUGCUUAAAAUGCAUAUGUUAUAUAUAAUGAAAUUUUGGACCUCUAUGUAGUAGAGAGUUGCUUGAGAGUGAGUUGGUUGCAUUUAGCAUUCUAUACGAGAUCCGGUUUCAUGUUUCUAUAGUGUAAUGAGUUCGAAUUCAUGCAUUUAAACUUAAGUUUACUUGUGACAUGAAAGAUGAUGAAAUUGCCAUAUAGAGGUACUGAGCUAGAAUGUAUGUGAACUAGCGAGCUAAUGUCAUCAAGCGGCAUUGAGCUCGGGACAUGUGUGAACCUAGUGGAUAGGGCCAUUGAGGGACUUGGGAUACAUGUUGGACAUCAAAUUGCCUAAGUGUCAUCAAGGGGCACUAGGCGUAGCAAAAGCUGAAAAUUCACAUUAUGCCUUAAACUAGAUCUUCGGGAUGCUAGUGACUAUACCAUGUUAGAGACAUGAGGAUUGGAUACUUGAGACUUGGACUUUGCUUGCUUGCCAUUUGUGCUCAUUCGCACAUGCUUGUGAGGGUCGCUCCCUACAAGCCGGCACUCCGGAGUUAGCCUACGCGACUUUUGUUCGCUCGUGCGGUAUUGAGAAGCCUACGGGGUCGAGUGGGACAGACACAUUCCAAGAGUAGGGAUGUUGGGCUACCACAGGCACUUAGGCGGCACAAGCUGGACUACCUUUGGUAGGUCCUUAAGUGGAAAUGGAAAUCGACACGGGGUUGAGAGUGGUUAAUCACUACUAGAUAGGUUAGUAGUUGAAUGACAUUUAUAUGCUUUUAGCAUAGGGUCGAGACAUGUAGUAUACUUGAUAGCCUCCUUUUGCAUUAAAGCAUACUUGGUUGCCAUGACAGAACUAAUGCAUAAUGUAUUCAUAAUGGUUAAUGAUUUACUAUUUUGAUAUCACAGAUGUACAUCACCUUGACAUCCGUUAUACUUGAGUUUGGUAAUUUAGCAUUUUAAUUAGGCUUUCAUAUCGCAGUCAUUAUUGCUAUUGUUAUUGUACUUAUCCUUUUCUUUUGGGGCCUAGUGGUGCAUUGAGCUGAGGUCAGUAAUUGCCCACUGACAACUAUAAACUAUAGUUCUCACGCCCUCUUUUUCUCGAUGUUUUUCAGAGCCUUCCACGCAGGGUGAGGCCAGGGAUCGCGGGAAGGGAGUUGCUACGAGCUAGCUUCCUUCGAGGACGAGUUGCUAGGUGGUCUACCUCUCGAUGUCUUAUUUUGUUUUGCGAGAGGUUGAGGGUGUUACCAGUGUACUAGAGACCACCAUUUUUGUACUAGAGACAGUUGUUGUACUACUUAUGAUUUCUUUUAUUGUCUAGUUUUACUUAAUUACUUUGGUGUAGAUGUUAGAACUUUACUCGCUCUGAUAUCAUUAGUUGCUAGUUAUUUCACUUCUUUUAUUUGUUCUAUCUCUUGCUUUACUUCCGCUUUUAUUGUAGACGCCUUAUAUGUGUAGACAUAUGGCGGGUCUGGGCACGCUAACCGGGAGGGCCUCCGCCGGUCCAGGGGCGUGACACCCACUGCUCACCCAUGCUGCCAACAGCAGCCACGAUGAACCAAAAUGCAUAAAAACGCACUCGAUUACCCGAAAUCAGUGGGCGGCGGCGGCGCUUGGAAGACGAGGGGACUCGGCCAUAGCCCGCACGGGUCUGGGCGGCCGCAGGAUGGAGGAGCGACGGCCGGCGGUCCACGGGGAUGGCCGGGAUGGCGAGCGGCGACGAGCGGGAGGUCGCCGGAGGCCGCUGCCAGAGGUGGUGCCCGAGGGUUAAGGUCACCCAGAUUGGUUCCACGGCAGGGAUGGUUGGGAAAGAAGGAUGGAGGGGUGGCCGGGUUUCAAGUUUUCCGGCGGCCGGGGCACCUGCCGGCGGCCAGGGUGCGCGCAAGGUUUGGGCAGGGACCUGCUAAAGCUGGUUAGGGCACAGUUGGGAGACAAGGUCGGCUAGAUCUAGGGUUUUGUGCAAAGAAACCCUAGAUGCUAAUUAUAUACAAGUGGACUAUUUGCAGAAAACCCCUCCAACCCAGAAUAUUUAAACCUCAGCCCCUGCCAGGGCGUACAAUUUGUGCGUACAUACCUCCACGUCCGAUCUCACGCGAUUCGGUACAUAAAAUGUCGCGCCUUUCACGGAUUUUCCGAAUUGCCACCUUCGACCUCUUAACGAAAACUUCGCAAUUACCAGAGAUCCGUCCGUCGGAUUUUUGAUCCGACGGCACCAUUGCGUUCAGCACGUCGGGGGCAUCAAAACUACAAUCUUAUUUCGUCAGAUUUGGUCACGGAUUCGCGACGGAACCCAUCCGCUCUCUAAUUAAUCCAUAUAUCGCACAUAUACCAAUGUGUAAACCCAUUAAACCAACUUUCGCAUUAGAAAUUGACUCCCAUACCACUAGUAGGGACCCGAAACAUUCUUCACCCUACUCCAGGUCACAAGCACGGAGCACGAGGAGCUUAAAAAUGAAAGAACAGUCAAGAACGGAAGUCCUCUUUUCGGUAAAAUCCCUUUUUCUCGGAAACCGCGCAUCAGAUCUGGAAUCCGUCAGUGCCAUUGGUUCCAGAAUAGCUGAACCGAUCAAAACGAGCUAUUGGAUCGCUAUGAACGGAGUCCGAUACGCGCCGAAAGCCAACUCUACUCCGUGGCUUCUCCGGAAAACCGGAGUUACUAUUCACUUUAAGGCCCUGUUUUGUAGUAUCCUCAUAUAUAUAUAUAUAUAUAUAUAUAUAUAUAUAUAUAUAUAUAUGGAUGCUGCCACGUACCCCCCUCCCAUGCAUGCAUGCUUAUCCAUUUUAAUUGAGGGUUGCAACCAACACCUCUUUAAUUAAAUUUCCUCCCUAUCUGUCUCUGGAGCCAUACGCAAGGAGGAGGAGCUUGGGUGGAGCGUUCGUCGCCGACGUCGCGUCGCCGAGCCGUCCGAGCAUACGCGCAUCGCCGUAGUUUAGCGAGGAGGCCGGGCGGGGGAGUGUUUUUGUCGUUCUCGACGCCGUGUCGGAAUUGGAGUCGCUGGUUGAGGUGGGUAAUCUCUCAUUCCUCCAUGGAUUUCUUCUCUACUUCAAGCUUCAUUCAAUUCGAGCUUAAGUGCUGNCUAGAGCGCAGGGUGGCUUUGAUGCCAUUUGGGUGAUAGUGGACAAACUGACCAAGUCUGCUCACUUCUUACCGGUUCAGACCAUCUGGUCCAGAGAGAGACUCGCGCAGCUAUACCUGGAUAAGAUCGUCAGGCUGCACGGCGUGUCAGUAUCGAUUGUAUCAGACCGAAACCCGAGGUUUGUGUCGCAUUUCUGGAGGAGUUUACAGACAACUUUGGGGACUCAGUUAUAUUUCAGCACUGCUUUUCACCCACAGACAAAUGGUCAGUCAGAGCGGACCAUUCAGACUCUAGAGGACAUGCUGAGGGCAUGUGUCCUCGAUUUUGGAGGAGGGUGGUAUCGACAUUUGAGACUGGUUGAGUUUGCGUACAACAACAGUUAUCAAACGAGCAUCCAGAUGGCUCUGUUUGAGGCGUUGUAUGGACGCAGAUGUCGAUCCCCUUUGUUUUGGAGCGAUGUGGGUGAGAGGAGGACAUUGGGGCCUGAGAUUUUGCUGGAGGCUGAGGAAAAGGUGAGAGUCGUUCGACGACACCUUCUGACAGUACAGAGCCGACAGAGGAGCUACGCCGAUAUUAGGAGACGAGACUUAGAGUUUCAGGUUGGAGAUCAUGUUUUUCUCAAAGUCUCGCCGUCCAGAGGGAUACGCCGUUUUGGAGUACGUGGAAAGCUUAGUCCACGGUUUGUUGGCCCUUUCGAGGUAUUAGAGCGUAUCGGACCGGUGGCUUACAGGAUAGCUCUACCCCCGCGACUUGCUGGCAUCCACGAUGUUUUCCACGUCUCAGCAUUGAGGAGAUACGUUUUCGACCCCUCUCACGUGAUUGACUUCACUCCACUCGAGAUUAGCGAGGAUCUGAGAUACGAGGAGCGACCGGUGCGGAUUCUUGCUCGCGAGACGAAAGAAUUGCGCAACCGGGUCAUCCCGUAUGUAAAAGUGCAGUGGAGCAAUCACGAGGAACGGGAGGCGACUUGGGACUUUAUUCUUGCUCCCUUCUGUAGACUUAGUGGGUGGACUGAUAUUGUUUUGGGCGGCACCCACUGAGGACUACUUGUUUCUACAGUAGUUCUCACACCCAGUUUUUACCCCGUUUUUGCAGAGUCUUCGUCUUCGGCUGCUGCUGUUGCUGGUCAGGAGCUAGGCAAGGGUGCCACGAGUUAGAGCCCUACCCGAGGAGCAGAGCUACAGGCACCCCUACUGCAGGUAGAUGUUUUAGUUUGGGUUCAUGUACAUACAGACUUUUAACUCGCCAGUGCGAGUAGCUUUGUACUCUGGGAUUCAGUGUAUGUAUAUGGAACUCGGUUUUUUUUACUUUACUAGUUCUUCUAGCAGCUCUAUACUACUGUUUGUAGUAUUGUAUGUUUUACAGGUACAGCUGUCGCUUCGUAUACAGGAAAAAUUUCUUUGUAUACGGCGGAUUUGUCGGCGUGUCGGGGGAACGUGUAAUCCGGGGCGUGACAUGUUUGGUUGGGGAACAAAGAUGGGGAUAAGGGGUUAUCCCCUCCUUGUUCCCCAAAUACUAUAUCUAAGGGUGGGAACAAGCUAUUCCCACCCUUAACGUGUUAUGCCAGAAUAACACGUUAAGGGUGGGAAUAGCUUGUCCCACCCUUAGGUGGAAUAGGGGUGGGAACAACUUGUUCCCACCCCUAUUUUUUUUUAAAAAAAUUAAAAAUUAAAAAUUAAAAAUUUUAAUUUUAAUUUUAGUUUUAAAAAUUUAUAAUUGGUAAUUUCAAAAUUUAAGUUUAUAGAUUUAAAUUUUAAAUUUUAAAUUUUAAUAUAAUAUUUUAUAUUUUUUUAAUAUAAAUUUUGUUAUUUAUAGGCCUUUUUGCAUAAAAAAUCCACUUAUUUUGGGCUUUUGCAAAAUCGGGUCAUUUUUUUCGUUUUUGCAGAUUCGGUCCAAUUUUUUAGUAAACUGACCAAAAUACCCUUAUUCUUUGUCUUUUAACUUCUUUACUCUUCCUUUCGUUUUUCUGUUUUAUUUUUUUAUUUUCGUUCUUUUUCGCGCCAUCGCGCGGAGCCCUUCCGCUUCUUUUAACGCAAACCCGAACCCUAUUCUCUCGCCCUGCUGCCCAGCGAGUCCACCCCCGUGUCUGCCUCCUCUUUCUCGAACUGCUCUUUCUCUCUCUUCCUCGAAGGCCCUUCCUCACCUCCCGAUCGCCCUCUCCUAAGCACCGCACGAAGCUCGGUCCUCCUCCUUCGCCCCUCACAGCGAAUCCUGCACGCAAAAGCGUCGUCACCGAAGUUGCAGGGGCGGAGCAAGCUCCUCGUCAAGCUCAAGGUCGAGGAGUCCCCGAUCGUCUCCCUCUUCACGCGAAGCUCCGCCGCCGAGCCCCUUCUCCUCUCCCCCACCGCCGCCGCCGAGCCCACCCCCACCGUCGUCUCCGUCGCCGUCGCCGUCGCUGAGCCCACGUCCCGGCCCUUGCCGACCGCCUCGUCACCCUCCAAUCGCCUCGUCACUCCCCUUGCUGAGCCCUCGUCACCCCCACCGUCGUUUCCGUCGCCGUCACCGUCGUCUCCGUUGCCGUCGCCAAGCCCACGUUCCAUUAAUGGUGUAAUGGUGCACCAUUGCACCAUUACACCAUUAAUGGUGUAAUGGUGUGCACCAUUACACUAAUGGUGCACCAUUACACCAUUACACCAUGAAAUUACACCAUUAAUGGUGUAAUGGUGCACCAUUACACUAUGAAGAAGAAAAAGAAGCAGCCGCAGCGCGCCCGCAUGCCCGCCCGCUGCCGCUGCGUGCACUGGCCCCGCCGCCGACCCGGCCCCGCACCGCGGCUGCGCGCCCCGCGCCAGGAGCAGCCCGCGAUCAGCACCUCCCCCGCCGCCCCGAUGCCUCAAGCGGCGUCGUCGACCCGCGGCCCGGGGGCUCGACCUUGGCGCCGAACUCCAGCAGCAGCUGGACGAGGUCCGGCCGGCCUUGCGCGAUGGCCGAGUGCAGCAGGCCGACGCCGGACGCGUCGACGGCGUCGGCCGGGCGCCAAUCCGGGUCGCUCCACUCCAGCCGCCGGCGACGAACUCCGCAACCUCUUCCUCCGCCGCGCCGCCGACAGCGACGACGACCGCGGCGGCAGACGAGGGGCUCGGCGACGGAGACGACGGUGACGACAGCCAUGGGGCCGUCGCCACCAUGGCCGUGGGGUCGGCGACGGCGACGGAGACGACGGUGGGGGUGGACUCGGCGGCAGCGGCGGGGGAGAGGAGGAGGGGUCGUGGGCGGUGGAGAGGAGGGUGAGGAGGGAGGCAACGGUGAAGAAGGAGGGUGAGGAGGGAGGCGACGGUCCGAUCCGCCUCUUUUUUUUCGGCGAGAAAAAAAAAAGAACGACAGAAACGAAGAGGAGAGAGAAAGAGGAAAGAGAAAAAGUAAUAAGGGUAUUUUGGUCAGUUUGCUGAAAAAGCGGACCGAAUCUGCAAAAACGAAAAAGGUGGCUCGGUUUUGCAAAAGUCCAAAAUAAGUGGAUUUUUUAUGCAAAUUGGCCUUAUUUAUUUUUUAAAAUUUAAAUUUGAUCUUAAAUUUUAAAUUUUAAAAUUUGAAAUUAAAAAUUUAAGAGUUUAAUUUCAAUUUUUGAAUUUUAAAGAAAGUAUUUUUAGGAUCACCUUGCUUGUUCCACCAGUAAAAUUUAAAUUUUCUAAAUUCAAAAAUUAAAAUUUAUAAUUUUAAAAUUACAAAAUUAAAAAUUAAAAAUUUAAAUUGUUUAAUUUAAAAUUUUAAAAUUUGAUAUUUUAUUUUUUUGAUAUUUAGAAUAUGAUAUUUUGUAUUUUUAAAUUAAAAUUUCAUCUUAAAUUAAAGUUCAAAAUUUAAAAAAUUAAUUUUUUAAAAUUAUAAAUUUGAGAUUUUAAAAUUUUAAAUUUAAAUUUUAAUUUUUAAACUUUAAAAGUAUAUAUUUUAAAUUUUAAAAUAUAAAUAUAAAAUAUAAAAAUUUAAAUUCUAAUAUAAAGAAAAAAAUAAUAUCAUUAUUUUUUAUUUAUAAAUACUCACUUUAAUUCUUAUCCCAUCUUACCUAACCAAACGCUAUUUUUCUUAUUCUCAGGAAUACUUAAUUUUCAUCUAAACGCAAAAUUCAUCUAAUCCCCGUUUAUACCUCAAUUUAUACCUAUCCCCGGAAUAUCCACUUUUUGCUUAUCCCCGAACCAAACGAUACCUAAGUGAUUAGUUUUAAUCGCAUAACUACUCCGUUCUAACUCAUUUUCUCCUGAAACUUGACGAGUAAUUUAUGUAAUUAAAUUACACACAUAAACAUCAUCAACAGAGAGUUUAGUUGCACUGUAAAAAUCUCAGUCCUUACAGUGCAUCGCACGGGUCAAAUACUAGUUAGCACUAAUAACUUGUGCAUGAGCAUUUGGUCCAGCGGUUUCAGCCCAACAAGUUGCUAGAGCUAGUGGGUUAGGUCGUUACAUAUUAGAUACUCAAGAACUUACAAUUUGGAACAUGAUAUAUAUAUAUAUAUAUAUAUAUAUACAUAUAUAUAUAUGAGUUGAGCUAGAAUACUAUCGGUAGUAAACGAGUGUUUUACUACCGAUUGUUUUCGAUGAUAGAGCUUCCAAAUUGACGAUCGGCUCCAUUUUAAUUGAUCUAAACAUUUAAACUACUAGAAAUCAAAUUUCACGGCACUUUCGAUAUUGUUCUUUUAUCAUCAAAGUGAACAGAAAAAUGAAUGGCUGAAAUGAAUACUCUUUAAAAAAUGAUGAUAGGAGUCUUGUAAUCAAGAUCAGAGUAUAGAUCUUGUUUUAAAGUUUAAAGAAUUUUUAACAAAAAUUCAAUUUAUUUGGAUAUCUUUACGCCGUUAAACGAGAAAACGCUCUUACUCGACCAUUAAAUUACAAAAUUUGAAACCCUUUGAUCAUUAGGCAAAUGAUGUCGAAAGAUUUGAAAUUUGAUUUCUAAACAUUUCAAGUGGUAUAGAUCAUAUUCAAGCGGAGCCGAUCGUCAAUUUGGAAGCUCUAUCAUCGAAAACAAUCGGUAGUAAACGGCUCGUUUACUACCGAUAGUAUUCUAGCUCAGCUCUCUCUCUCUCUCCUUUCUCUCUUCUUCUCUCUCUCUCUCUCUCUCUCUCUCUCUCAUAUAUAUUAUAUAUAUAGGAAAACUUCAAAAACCCCCUUGUGGUUUCGUGCAUUCUCAUUUAGUACCCUGUGGUUUAAAACGUAUCAAUUUGCCCCCUGUGGUUUCAUUUUUAUCUUUUUCGGAAGCUUUUUCGUUAAUAUUUCGUUAAUUAUAUACAAAAACUUCAGUAACCAUCUAUAUUUAUCGAAUUAUUCACUUUAGUAUCCUUUAAUUUUAACUUUGUCACUGAUUUUUAACCCCCCCCCCGCCCACAACAUACACAACACACACACCACACACACACACACACACACACACACAUAUAUAUAUAUAUAUAGUUUUAUUGGUUUACAAAUUCAUUAUAAUUAUCAAAUGUCUUGUGGUAAAAAAGACUUUUCUUAAACAAGUCACUUGAACUUUUGACGUGUAUAAUAUCACAACAUCUGAGAUAUAUUUUAUUUUGCUAGUUUGUUCAUCCUUGAGCUGAAGGACUAUAAGAGAAACUAUUAGAUUUUUAUUGGAUUUUGUGAUUUAAAACUUAUUAAAACCACUUGAGGAGCCCAAUAAUUAUUUAUGGGCCUCUUGGGAGCCCAACUUAAAAUAUCCAUGUGAGAUGUUUAGUCCCACAUUGGAAACCAAAAGAGUCUUUGUUGUUUUUAUAUAUUGCUUUAUUCUCAAACUAGUUGUUUGGAAGAAAAUAAGAGUUAUGCUCUCGUUUAUGUAUACGCGCGGCAUGAGCCAGGCCGGGCGAGCGGCGGCGUGCGCGGUCCAUACACCCGGUUCAUUUUAUUUUGUCGGUUUUAUCUUUAUUUUAAUACUUAUCUUUUUACUAAUCCUAAUCAUUAUCUUUAUCCGUAUAAUCUUAGGCUUAUCUUGUUAUACACGGAUUUGACGCGUUGAAGCAAGAUUCUCGCCUAGAUUAUAAAUAUGAGCAAGGUUACACGAGUUAAUUAAUAACCCGAACGUACCUCAAGCCUCUCGUCUUUUUCUACUUUCUGGAUUUUCGCCGUGUAAGGACUAACAUUUUGAUAGUGUAGCUGAACUCUCUGUUGACGAUAUUUUUGUGUGUAAUUUAAUUACAUAAGCACUCGUCAAGUUUCAGGAGAAAACGAGUUAGAACAGAGAAGUUACGCGAUCAUUAGUAUUCACUUAAGUGAAUAGUAACUCCGGUUUUCCGGAGAAGCCACGGAGUAGAGUUGGCUUUCGGCGCGUAUCAGACUCAGUUCAUAGCGAUCCAAUAGCUCGUUUCGACUGGUUCAGCUAUUCUGGAACCAAUGGCACUGACGGAUUUCAGAUCUGAUGCACGAUUUUUGAGAAAAAGGGAUUUUUAUCGAAAGGAGAGUUUUCACUUUUUGCUAGUCUUGCAUUGUGAAACCCCUCGUGCUCCAUGCUUGUGAUCUGGAGUUGGGUGAGAGAUGUUUAGGGUCCCUACUAGUGGUAGGGAAGUUAUUCUCAAGUGCGAAUUAAGGUUUAUCGGGUUUACACAUUGGUAUAUGUGUAAUAUUUGGAAUUUUGGAGAGCGGACAAGUUUCAUCUCAUCACGAAUCCGUGACCGAUCGAGAUGAACCAAAAUUGUAGAUUUGUUGUCUCCGUCGUGUUGAUCACACUGGUGCGAUCCGUUCGCAAAUCUGACGAACGAAUCUGCAGAUAUCGCGCAUUAUUUGAGAAGGGGUCAGUGUUGGCAAAACGGUAAUUUCUCAAAAGUUGCGACAUUUUAUGUACCGAAUCGCGAGGGAUCGGACGUGGAGGUGCGGGCACGCGAUUUACUAGCGCUGUGAAGGGCUCGGUUGUAAAUUUUCAGUUUCGGGGGACUUUUGUGCAAAAUUACCAUUUGCAUAAAUAGUGCAUUUAGGGUUUUCUAUUCUAACCCUAAACCCAGACCUAAUCAGCCGAUCCCAGUAGCCUCCCCUCCCUAUCUUGUGUGCGUCGCGCGCGCCCCAACCGCCAACGCACGCCGCCGGCUGCCGGAGAAGCCGCUCUCCUUCUCCUUCAUUGUUAAUCCUCCAAGAUGCCCUCCAUCCAUGCUCGUGGAACCUACCAGGGUGAUCAGCACCUUCGGGCAUCACCUCUGGCAGCGGCCCCGACCUUCGCCGACCCGCCGUGCCGGUCGCCGCUGUCUCCACGCGCCGUCGUCGCGGCAUGGGCGCCCUACGGCCGAGCUGGAACAGAUCGGGCCGAGCCCAGGACAGCAAUCAUUUUGCCCACUGGUGCUGCCUGGAACCGACCGCGCCACCCUUGCUCCGCCGAGGCUUGACCUCCGGCGCCGUCGCCGCUGUCCCCACAAGUCGCAGUAGCCGCUCUUGCUCCCUGCGGCCUCCCAGAGCAAGCUGGGCCUGAGCCCAAGCUAGCUCGCCAUCCGCGCAUUGCCGCCGCCUUGCGCUGGCCGAGGCGUCUCCAUUUGGCCUUCGGUGAACCAUCGUCGCUGCCCUGAGGUUCCCCUAACAGUCGCUGUGGCCGCUGCCGCUGCUCCCUGUGCCCGAGUCGAGCCCAUGCGGGCUCGGGAUACUCUAGCGCCGCCGCGGCUGCCUCCCGCCAUCGGCCGGUGUGAGCGCCGGCCUCCCAUGGCCGGCCGCACCCGUCGGCCNGACCGGCGUGAGCGCCGGGCCUCUCUGGCCGACUGCACUCACCCACCGCCAGCGCCUAGCCGCCGGAGCUCCCUAUUGGCGGGACUCGACCCAUGCUCUCCUCGGGUUAGUGGGGCUAGGGCAUCAGUGCCCGUCAUCGCCGCCACCUCCCGACGCCGGCCGACGUGAGCCCCAACCCUUAUCCGUCGUCAGCACCCUCCUGCUGCCGGAGCGCUCGCCGCCCAGCUGUCGCCGGCCAGCCCUAGCUCUUCCCUGGCCGGUAAGCUUGAUUUCAGCCUUUCUGCGCAUAGUUUCCUGUUCUCGUCACUGUUCCGGCGACCCGAGGCUGUUCCGAUGCCUCCGGGGGUGAGCACGGUGAUCGUCUGUCAGUCCUGAUCACAGUGCUCACCUCAUUUAGAGUCAACGAGCCCCUGGUUAGUGAGAUAAGCAUGCUUUUCCUGCUGUGCGCGCUAUUUCACUAAUUUUCGCAUCGCUCGUGUGCGUGCCACAGUCGGCAGUGCUCCAAAAGGUGAGCACGGUCUCCGGCACGCCGAUACCUGUCAGUAGGUGUCUCGGUUUAGCUGAAUGACUUCUGGUUUGUGUAGACGGACCAUAAAAGCGCUGAAAUCACAUAAAAUAAUGUGAUUUCGGAUAAUCGGAAGGGCUUUUAUGCAACUUCGUUCAUCGUGGCUGCUGUUGGCAGCAAGUAUGGGCUGAGGAUAACCUCUGGACUGAUCGUCCAAGGCCCCAAGCCUUUGCGGGAAUCAGAAAGUGAUUUUCGGCGCGUUUCUCGGCGAAAUCCGCCGACGAAAUGCGGGUUCGGGUCGGAAUUAUUCCGACGGUGCUUCGUGAUAGAUUGUUUAGUCGCUGAGCCUUGUUGGCUGGUCACUCACGUCAUUUCGAGGGUUCGAAAAUGACGGGUGAGCGACAGUGGGUUCCGGUGUCGAAAUCGACACUUCCGAAAAUUCGGAUCGGAACAAAUAGCCGACGAUAAUCGUUUCAAUGCGAGGCCUUGUGUUGGCUGCCAAGAUAAUCAAUUUGAUGUGUUUUGUGGCAGCGGGUGACUCGUAGCACGAGUCGGUGCGUUCCAGGACAGUUGUGGGUCCCGGCGGAGUCCCGGUGCGAUUACGGGACCUCCCGCGUAUUACGGCGAUUGGUUUGGGAAACCGAUUCCAGUGGGUUUAUUUGUGGGGCUGUGUGUUUAGUAUUUCUUAGUUGUGGGUUAGAUAUUAACCCGGUGGACCCCCCGUAGGUCCGGUUGUCAUUCUUUCGCAGACAGGAGACAGGCGCGAUAUCCUUACAGGUGGGUACUUCGAUCCGACGUCAGUACAGUGGUGCACGCUCGGUGAUGGUUUCUUACCCUUGCUCUUUUGUUAUUAUCCAUGCAUAUACUAUAUGUUGAGCUUUGCACCUCUAUUGUUUACAUUACACUCUACUCAGAUGUUCCCAUUCUUCGUAUCAGGUGUAGGAGUAGAGUAGUCUAUCUAUUUGUGAUACCUAUGACCUGGUUGGUCGAUUCUCGUACUUCGUAUUAGUGACCUGGUUGGUCGAUUCUUGUACUUCGUAUCAGUGACCUGGUUGGUCGAUUCUCGUACUUUGUAUUAGUGACCUUGUUGGUCGAUUCUCGUACUUCGUAUUAGUGAUCUGGUUAGUCGGUUCAUGUAUGUCGUAUCUGUGACCUAUUGCUCGGUUCUUGCAUCUACACUUUAGUUCACCCUUGAGCAGUAUUUGCAUACUUCUGAGAGGAUGUUGAGUUGUUCCAUCCUAAUUGACCUGAGUGGUCAGUUCUUGUUCUUCCUUACAGUUGAUGACCUAUACGGUCGGUGAGCCCUGUGGGCAGGAUUGCCGGCUGGUUGCCGACGGUUGACCUCUGAGCAUAUCAGCAUUGACCGCCCGAGACUCGUUCGCAUUUCACGAACACCGGCAGUCUGAUCCACCGCAAGGGGUGUUCUUUUCCGAAAAAGUGGUUGCAGGUGUCAACCCGUGAGCCCUAAAGGGGUUAUAUGCAUGUUAGAGCGGCAGUGGUACUGUCAGGAGGUCUCCAAUGUGAACCUCCAGGGCACAGGCUUGAGGUUCAGGUGUGGACCAACAGAGCAGCAGAUUUCAGAUUGGGUAUAUUUGGUCUAUACAUCCAGUUGACGCAUAUGUCUAUAAUAGCAGUCGUUGCAUGCAUACUUACAGAUUUUACUUUAUAGUUGUCUUGCUACUAUAGUAGAUAUUCAUGUAUGCUUUCUGUUCUAGUUAUAGUAGCGGUAGCCGUUAUUCAGUAUAGUUCCUACUUUCUUUCAGUUUAUUGCUACUGUAUUCAGUAUAUCUGCUCAUUACCUUAUUUAUCUCUUACUGAUCCGGUGAGUACUCCUCGCCUUCAUCGGCUUGCGGUACCCACUGGGAGGGGAGACAUGUUUACAUGUUCUCACCUCCCCCACCAUUUUUCAGGCAUUGCAGGCGGUGAGAUUGAGACGAGACGUGAGACACGUGGAUAGCUGUCGAUAGAACUUCUGGCCCGGUUUGUGUAGUUUAGUUACUACCUUUGUUAUUUCUGUUGAUAUGACUUAGACAUCUAUAUGGUUCAGUAUUUUAUUAUGUUUAAUUAUUCAAGAUUUCAGUUGGUUUUCCGAAUGAGAUAAAGAUUUCUGGAUUUUUGUAAAAAGGAAAGGUUUUCUACCCUUCGUGGUAGCGUGUUUUCAAAAGAAAAGGUUUUCGUCUGGGAAACAGCUUUCAAAAGAGUUUUCUCGUGGUUUUCUUGACUUAGUAUUUCAAAAUAAGUUUUCGGGUAUGAAACGUUUUAAUUGAUAGUUGUGGAUUUAUAUUCAGAUCUCUGUUUAUGAACCUGUGGUGAAUGGUGUAUGGAUAUUGAAUGUAUGAUGACUUGUAUAUUCAUUUAGUUGUGGUUGUAUCCUGUUUUAUAUCUUGUACUUGUGCGACGCCAUGCAAAUACAGGGGAGACUCUGUUCGUGUGAACAGUAGAAUCUCUGUAUUUGUGGCGGAUCUGGCAUACCCUGAGGUCAUAUUUUCAAAAAAAAAAAAAUUCUAAUCACUUCCGCUAUAUUUUCAAACUAAAAGGGACCCCGGGGCAUGACACGCCGAGUUCUCUUUUGCUGGAUCUGAAGCUGGUUGGGUUCGUCUUGCGCUACCUUGGAAGCAUGCCGACGAGGUGCAACGUAGUCGUUGUAUCGCUAGGAGUAAUUAUCGGGAAGCCUCGCACGUGGAGAGGGCAAUUUCGCUUUUAGGACAGUGCUCUGCACGCCUCGAUCCACAGGCCUUAUCUAAACCUUUUUUUUACCGCCACUACAACAAAAUUGCUUUUUAGCGGCAAUUUAAUAGCGGUGAUUAUCAAACGGCCACUAUUACUAUUAUCUUACAGUACUUUAGCGGCAAUUGUUUUAAAAAAUAUAUUUUUAUCGACUAAUAUUUAUAUAUUAAAUAUAAUCUAACCCAAUCUCAACCCGAUUCCAACCCAACCCAACCUCAACCCUAUUCCAACCCAACCGCCUGAUUCGCUCGUGAGCGACCUAUUCUCUCUCUGCCCUUAACCUCUCUUCGAGCUCCGAUCUUCUCGGCCCCGACCUCUGAGCUCAGAGAAGACGCAAUUUAAUGGCGUCUUCUCCGAGCUCCGAUCCCAAUCUUCUCGGGCCCGAGUGCUUCAAGAAGAUCUGCCACCGACGGUGUCGCCCUCGGCCUCCACCUCCACGAGCGCGGCGGCGCUCCGACGACCUAGAUCACGGACCCCUAGAGCUUGCGCACGGUUAAGCUCGCGAUGAGGGCCACGGCGAGGAUCAGGAUCACCCACUUGACCAGAGCCCCGAAUCUCCACCGCUGAUGCCGAUUCGCCUUCGCGUUGAUCUACUGCUCCUUGUAGAUCUCCUCAUCCUCCUCUUCCUCGUCGUCCGCGUCAAGUAACGGCGUUUUGGGGGUGCCCAGGGAUGCCCUAGGGUUUGGGUAGGUCGAGCUCGGGGUCGGGGCCGCCGUGGAGGAGUGGGGAGGGUGAUCACCAAAGCGGGAUUUGGGCUUGGAGAUGGAUCUGCGGCGGAUUACGGUUUUGGGAUUGGGGGGUCACGAGGGGCUUUCUAGGGCUCGGCGCCUUGGCGAUCUCCGGGGAGGGGUUUCCGACGUGCGGGGGCGAUGAUUUCGGUGGCGAAUCCUCGAAACCUUUGACAUUAGCAGAAGAAGUCGGCGCCGACUUUGCUGCUGCUGCUGCUUCGCCGUUUUGGAUUACGACGACGACUUCGCCUUGCUUUCGAUCAAUGCUGUUGUCUUUGUGAGUAUCGUCGUCCAUGGCCAAUGAAAGAGACAAAAAAAAACCCAAAAAAAAAUAAUCCUUGAGAAGCGCUUCUGAGUAGUAGAUUUUUUAGAGAAGUGCUUCUACAUUUUGAUGAUCAGCUCCUUUUUUUACAGUGGCCAAUUUAUUCAGGACAUUCGAUCACAGUUGGAAAAUGACUUCAUGAAAUCACUGCAGGCUGAGGUUCUAUUUAAAUAUUGCUUGAUAAAUUAGUAGUAUUUACGUGCUCUUUUCUAACUUUCAGCCAUUCUAAUUGUUUACAGGUAACAGAUGAUUAUGAAGCGGAAGCUAUUAGACCAUUGUCAUGGUAUCCAGGGAACGUUGCGCGGCAUUUGAACUUUUCUCGUAUGCAACUUAGAAAGAACCAGGCACUUGAGAGGUAAUUUGUAACGUAUCGAAACCCGAAAACGAUAAUCGAACUUUAAUCAAAUUUGUUAAAGUGUCGAGAGAAACGGAUUGGUGAGUUCCAUUUUGCAUUCCAACAAGGUUGGAAGGACAAAAAUGAGUUUAAGAAGUGUUGGAAUGGUUUUGGCAUCGAAUGGCGCGAAGUUGAGUCGAAUCGAAGCCUAAAACAGCAUUCUGGAGCUGUUGUACCGGUACAAGGUGAUGGUUGUACCGGUACAACCAGCGCAAUUCGAGCUGAGUAGCUCUCGGGUUGGUGCAGUCCAGGCCUUGUACCGGUACAAGACCCCUUGUACCGGUACAGACCCUGCGCACCCGAGAGGCAGCUCUCUGGUUUGGCUCACUGUUUGGCCUUGUACCUGUACAAGAAUCCUUGUACCGGUACAAGAGGCCCCGGACAGCAUUUUGAAGUCUGAUGCAAAUAAGACUUUGUGGGGGGUUUGUUCGCAAUUGUUGCAACAUUUUAUGAGCCUAAGCCCUCUCCCUUUCACAGCACACUCUCAAACACACUCUCUCUCUCUUAUUUAUCUCUUUCUCUCUCUAGAAAAACCCUAGGGCUUGGUGGAGAAGGUGGAGAAGAAGAAGAAGAAGUUGGAUUUUGGAGGCUUGGAGGCUUUGGUGGCUCUCCAACAAGGUGGAUUUUGGUGAGCUCGUGGCUAAGGUGAGUUUAUUGCACAAGAGAGUCUAGGGUUUGGUUUUAAACCUUGGGAUUUAGAGUUUUGAUCCUCUAAUUAACCUAGAAAUCCUCUAAAGACCAUAACUCCAUGAAAAACAUGGAUUUCUUGGACCCCUCUCAUGGUGGAUCACUAGGGCUCAAAGUAGAUGCCCUAGGGAUGGUUCUAAAAGUUUAGAAACCUUAUUAGAGAGCUUCCCAAGUGAUUCUAAACUUUCUUUUGCUUAGCAAUGAGAUCAAUCUAGGAGAAAUGCAAAAAUGGCUCGUUAGGGCAUCCCAAAAAGGGGUUUUGCCCAAGUUGGGUUUUGAUCUAUUUUGAUCAUGCGGAAACCCAAUUGAGGGUAUUUUAAACGCGUUGGAAUGCUCGGUUCGACAAUCCGACGAGUGUAUGCAAAGUUAUUAACAAAAAUAUCAUUUUCCGUACAGAUAGCCGCAGCACGCGGAUUAGGGCUUCAAAAAUUCCAAGAAAUUCACCGAAGUAUCCUUGUAACCAUCUAAGGUGGGUGGUGCAUUCCAAGGACAUCGGAAAUCUCUCUAUGUCUAAGUGUCAUAUUUUGAGCAUAUGUGCAUUUUUGAGCAUCUUGCAUAAUAGGGUUAAUUGUGAGUUUUGCUAUAGCCUAAUGUAAAUUCAAAUGCAUGUUAAAUGUUUGUAAGAGUGUGAGAAUGAUGAUCCCUAUGUAUGCAUGAUUGUGACAAGAACCUAGAAGGGUUAGUAAACGAAAAGUGACACUUGACAUAGAUCUAGCAAGUGACAUCGACGAGUCUAGAAUCCUUAGUAAACAAGUGUGGCAUUUUGCAUGAGGACAAGAAUCUAGAACUUAGAGAACAAGUGUGGCAUGAGUUCAAGAACUCGAUAGUGUAUAUGACAUUAGAGAUAGUAAGGAAUGCAAGAACAAGAACGAUUGAGAUAUUUUGACAUUCAACCUUAGUGUUAAGGGUCAUUUGAGCAUAGUCUUCCUUAAAGUUAAGGAAUGGAUUGAACUUGGAAUCCUCAAAUGUAGGAUUGAUCGUACUCACUUUAGUCCUUGCUCGAGGUUGUGGUAGCUCCCCCUCGGGCGAUGUGCUCCGGAGUCGACAUCACUGGGUUGUAGCGGGUAUCUCCCCAGAGGACGGUCCCAUCGGGUUGUAGCGGGUAUCUCCCCGAUUAUUGGGAUUUUGAGUUGGUGAGUUUGUUGAGGGCGAAACCUACGGGUUAGCCAAGAGAUUGGGUAUUGACACUAUGACCUUGCAUUCAUCAUGAGCAUUAUAUUGUGCACAUCAUUUUAUAUUGUUCAGGCAUAUUAGUUGCAUUUGCUAGUUGGUUACUUACUUUCCUUUAUUCUAUUAUGCCUGAUUAGACCUAGUGGGAUAGUCGGCGUGGUUAGUUGUCGAACCCACUGGAAACUUUGUUGUAGUUCUCACACCCCUAUUUCCACAGAGCCGGGACCCAGCGAGCCGGCAGACAAUCACGGUAAGGGCAUCGCGUCCUAGGUAGAGACCGCCUGAGACAUUUAUCUAUUGUAGUUGCAUACCCCUUUUGUUAUAUGUCAUCUUUUGUACUUGAUGAUUUAGUUGUUAAAGAAAAGAACAUGUAUGUUGUGAAAGAUCUUUACAUUUAAAUACAAGAAUGAUAUUUUGAGAUCCUGUGAUGUAAAAGUAAAGAAAUGAUGAAAAAAUGUAAUCGAUCCCUUAAGUGUAGUUGUUUACUUUCACUCUUGGCUAUUGCUUGCCCUCGUGCAAGCCAUUGUGUAUGCUUUCGCUUAUGCAAUUUCUAUACUCUAUCUGUACCUGUUGUUGAGCCUUGGGCGGACAGGGGAGGCUCUGUCCGUUUGGCGUCUGUUUCACGCUCUCGAACCGGCCAUAAAGGAUCGGGCUCGGGGCGUGACAUAAUUGUUAUUGAGUAGACUAUUUUUAUGCCAAUUGAAGUACAGUACCACGAAAGGAAUUUACAAGAUUUUCUUUUAAUGCUUCAUUUGGACGAUAUGUAUUUUUAGUUGUACUGCUCUCUAUUCAUUUGGACUAAUGUAGAUUUUCUUACAUUGCACUGAUACUUUAUGAGCACCAAUUUUGGGAUGAUUAUUUUUGUGUCAUUCUUGUGAAUGUGAAAUUUUAUUGUAAAUUGGCUAUUGUCUAUUUUGUUAGUCUUGUUUAAUUAUGCUACUUAAUGGCGAAUUCCAGGUUCCAUGAGUUUUUAAAGCAAGAGAAUGAGAUUGGAAACAUAACAAGGCAAGAGGCUGUCAGCAUGGUGGGCAUCUUCAAAUGGAUCUGUUCAAGAAGCUAUUAUAUUUUUAGUAUUCGUAGUACUUUAUUAUAGAGCUUAUAAUUAUUUUAAAAUGUUUGCUGCAGGUUCCUCCACUUUUCCUUGAUGUACUACUGGAUCUCUAUUCUUGACAGUAUGUUCUAUCUAUUCAUCAGACAUCUUACAUUUUAGUCUUCCAAAUGCAAUCCAAAUUAUUACAAAUUAUUACAAUCUUAUUCUUUUUCGUUUCCUUACAUUCCUAAGUAGCUGACUCAGGAUACCGCUAUCUCUGGUCUCGGUGGUAGGGCACUAACUACGGAGCUACGCCCUUUCCUCGCGCCACCGCGCCGCUCGCGUGUGAACCUGUACCCCUAAAAACAACACGGGGGGUGAGAACUAUAUAAAUAUAGUUUCCAGUGGGUACAGCCACCCAAGGGAAAAGCUCGACCCACGACGUCCAAGGAGGCACUACAAUCAUGUUAGUCCAACAGAUAUCCACAAGUAUUUUAUGCAACAUUAAAAUACAUGAAUGUGCCUCACAAUAUGCAAUAUGAAAUUCAUGCAACUAUGCAAGUAGAUUAAACGAUUUUACUCUCUAUCAUUGCCAUUCUUUAUUGUUAGACAUUCUUUACUAUUUGCAAUCCUUUCUUAUUAGCCACUUUUAUUCUUAGCCAUUCUUAUUCUUAGCUAACCUUUAUUCUUAGCCGUUCUCUAUUCUUUACUAAGGGUUCUCACACCUUAACCAUAUCAUGCUCAUUUGCCACUCUUUCAUAAGGUUACUCUUACCUCAGUCACAUUAUGCCACUCGACUCGGUCUUGAGUCAAUCAACUGCGGAUAAUCCGCGCUUUGUCCGGCUCGAGGUGAAAGAACUCUCACAUAUACCUCAGCCAACCACAGCCUACCGCGCUCCGUGACUUAGCCAUCCGGCGGCGAAACCAUCGCACACGCCAUGACAAUGGCUCAAGUUAACCGGCGGUAUAAUCCACAAACCGGCUUAACUAUCCGGCGGUGAAAUCGUUGCACACGCCACGACAAUGGUUUAGCCCCGAGCGGCGAAAUCAUCACACACGCCCCACACCCCUCUCGGUGUGAUCCAUAAGUCCUGGGAUUCCGGAAUCCAUUUCACAUAACUCAAGGGUUGGUCUUAACCCUCUAGUAUCGACCUAUCUAGGUCCAAUGUCCCUUCCAUCCUAGGUCCAAUUGACUCUAGGUUCAAUUCCUUUGUCACAUAACCUAAGUUUACAUGACUCUAGGUUCAAUUCUCAACCUAUGUUCUUUAACACUAGGUUCAAUGCCACUCUUGACCAACCUAUAUUUAUUAACACUAGGUUAAAUGCGACACAUGUCCAUCCUAGGUUCACGACACUAGGUUCAAUGCCACUCGAUCUACUUGACACUCCACUUGUCCACGUUGAGUAUCAUAGUUUACACAUUCUUAACUUCCAAUGUUGCAUUCUCUAAUACACCUAGAGUUAUCGACCUGUGUUCAACUCAUAUGAAUCAAGUAUAAUAUACAACUUGCCAACUUGCAUGUUAUUUAGCAUUUGUAUCUUAUAUCAAUAUGCAUUUCAUCUAGCAUAUAUUACAACAUGCACAUCUCAAUUAGCAUUCUCUACAACAUGUCAUUAUGCAUUCCGACUAGCAUGUUCUUAUAAUGUUUACAUGUAUAGGUCAUUUAUCUUUUGCUCUCAACUAGCAUCAUUCAUAUUAUGUCAUCAUGCAUUCUUUGGUAGCCUACUUAACAUUCACCUCAUGCAUUCAUAUAUUUUACCACUAGCUACCAUUAUAUGCAUCAAUAUGAAACCAUAUUUUCUUCGACAUGAAGGCGACCUAGUCGCUUCGGUAAACACAACCCACCUCAAUUCGCACUCCGAUUGCUUAUAGUCACUUGCAAUCGGCCUCCCGCGGCACCCCUUGCCCGGUUCAGCCCGAACUCGCACUCGACCACCAAACGGCCACCAAUCCACAAUCCGGAAAUUAAAGGUCUAUAACUUGAUGCCACGAUAUUCCGGAUCUGUUUUCGUGAUUUUUAGACGUCGCCUCGGCCCUCCAGGCGGAAACAAAGCCAAAAUGUCCGUUUCUUCAAUAUAUUCGCGUAGGUUCGAUGAAUCGCCGAACCGUCUUCACCAACGCGUCGAAAAUACCUUCAAUUAGGUUUACAAAGGGUCAAUUUACAUUUAAACCCAACUAUGACAAAAGCUCUAAUUUUGGUGCCCUAACGAUGCCAUAUGCUCAUUCCACCAUUUCGAUCUCUAAGGCAAGCAAUAACAAGCUUGGCCAACAUCUAGAAGCUCAUUUAGAACCAUUUAACCCAUUCUUAGGGUUUCUAACACAAACCCUAGAAUUUCACCAUGAAAGCUCUUGAAGUAAUCAUGGAUUUCAUGGUGUUCAUGGCCUCUAGAGGGUUUCUCUACAUGUAAGAAACUCAAAUCGAAGAGUUCUAGGGUACAAAACCAAACCCUAGCCUAGAUCUUACAUGAAAACCUCACCUUUGCCCAAAGCUCUCCCAGGUCCACCUUGUAGGAGAGCUCAAACCCUUCAAAUCCUCCAAAAAUCUCCAAACCCUUCUUCAAUCUCCUCCAAAUCCACCUUGUUGUAGUGCUUCUAGAGAGAGAAAGGGAAAGAAAUGAGUGUAGGAGGGUGUUCUUCAGCUGCUGUGAAGGGAAGAGGGUGUUGGGGUCUUAUAUAGGUUGCUACAAUAGCAACUAAGCCCCCCAAAUUCCCGUAUUUGCAGCAGACUUUCUUUUGCUGCCAGACCCAAAGUGUACUGGUACAUAUUGGCUGUCACCGGUAACACGAUCGCUCAGAGGCAAACCCGAGAGCUCUCCCUCUCGGUCUGUCGUUUUGUACCGGUACAACAUCAAUGUUGUACCGGUACACUUUGUCCAGACUACAAUUUUAGCACUUGUUCGACUUCUCUUCGCGCCGAGCAAUGCUAAAAUCCUUUUAACUCUUUUAGAACUCAUUUUUAACUCUUCCAACCUUGUUGGAAUACUAAUUGAAACUUGUCCAACCAUCUCUUUCGCACACUUUAGUCAAUUUGACUAAAGUUCGAUAUUCUCUACAGAGUUUUGGUAUGUUACAUUUCGGGCGCGAUUUCAAUCCAAUAUGCAAAUCCCUUGUAGCCAAGAAAGAAAACAAAACGUCCGAAUAUUCACUGGCACGAGAAGAAGCCAGUUCGCCUUGAAUGGCCUCAUACCGAGUAAGAAGCCAAGGUGGGCCAGUGACACGCUCGGCAAACGAAGACCAUGAAAUAAGGAAAUGAGGACGCGAUUCAUAGAAAAUUAUGAAAUAAGUGGCAAAAUCAAAAGGGUGAAUUGACGUUAACGGCUGGGGACAGCCAAGAGCUAAUCCGUAAAUGUCAAAAUGAGGAGCCGAGUCUAGAAUUAAAGGAUCUCGCCACAAAUUAGGAAAAUAAAUUUGCAAAAACAUUUGCAAAAACCAGAAAACACCACCACCAGAGCUGAUGGUUAAACCCUCUCCAUAAGGGAUCGGUUCGUCAGUAAAGGAGUGACCAAAGAUGAACCGAAAAGGGUUCGAUGGGACAAAUUGCCUAAGUAUGGUAUAAUCUAAUGACGGAGAAGAAGGAAGAGGCGAAAGUGGCGCCAUUGUUAAAAUGAAAGAAGAUAGCGAAGAAAAGCCCUAAGAGUCGAGAGUGAAAAAGGGGAAAAGAAGACAAAGAAGCAGAGAAGAUGAAGAUUCAAGCCAGAGAAAAGGAAAAACGAAGAGAACGAAGAUAGGCCAGAGAAAAGAAAAGUGGAAGCUUGGCGAAGAAGAAAGAGAAGCCGUCGCGUCGAAUCGAUUUCCGAGGCUGGCUAUAAUGAUGAAGAGACGGCGGCAAUUAAUAUGACCUAAUUAAUGCCGCAUAUAAGACAAAAAGGAAUGUUGAGAUCGUGGCCGUAGAGAGGAAAAGAACGGCUGAAAAGGAACCGUACAAAGAAUUCGAAUUGACAAUAUCGAAAGACGCGCCUUUGAUUACGCCAGCUACCGAAGCGUCUGUUCGAAAGCUGCCAAGGGGGCAAAUUGUUAAGCCAAGAACACGCGGCCAUAUGGUAUGCUGAUGCACCGUUCAACCCCAAUCUUUAAAAGCAAUGAUUAGAGAAAAUCUUGGUGUGCACCGGGAGCAUCGACAAUAUAAUUAAGUAACCGCUAGGAUUAAUUGCAGGAAGUUACAGUAAUUGCAGGCGGUUACAUGCAGAUUUGAUUGGCCUGAAGUGGCCCGUAAAAAUAGGAUAGUGGCCGAUCAUGGAUGGGGCAAUAACUGACUAGCAGAGGCAGACUAUAAAUAGGCAAAUAACGCCUAGAAAAGGAGUCUUUUCCCUGAGAAUAGAAGACCACCUUUAUUUCCUCUGCAUUUUUCUCGCAUUUUCUAGGAGUAGUCUACUUGUAAUCUUUUACUUUCCCGCACUUACUAUUUUUCUAGAAGUAGAUUUAAGUUAGAUCAACCGAGUCUGUAUGCUCUCAGACACACUCAUCCCUUGUACUAGUUUUACAAGUUAAUUCCAAUAUAUAAAGGCAUUCGGCUUUUCAGCCGACCAAAAGUACAGUGUAUUCCGUACAUUCGGCUCAUCCAGCCGAACCGAAUCUAUAGUAGGAGGUUCUGAACUCGGCUGAUCCGAUCCUUCAUCAGCCGAAUCGCUUGAUCCAGUCGAAGGGUGCGAACUUCGAAGGUAACUAAUCGUAGCCGUUUCAUAUCCCCACACGCUUCCCGAGAGAGAUCUUUGACCGGUCAAGGAUCAGGGAAUUCGGCUCCUAACAAAAUGGUAUCUCUCUAACUUCCAAUUUGUUGUAUUUUAUUUAGUUAAGUUAAUUUUUUUGUCAUAUUUUUAUUAAUUGUUACUUGAUGCUAUCUUUUUUUUUGGUAAAUAGUAAUGUGUUUCAUUUUUUACUUCUCUUGUUGAGAACUUGAAUGUGUCUUAUCAUUUCCUUUCAAUCAUUUACACACAAGAUGGGAUGCAAUUGUAAUUUUACUAUUAACAUAUCUAGUUAUAGAAUUUAAUAAAAUAAAAUUGAUAUUUAAAUUCCAUCGAGAUCUUGUGUCGACCUUCAAGUGGAAGUAUGUGAUGUACAAUAUAGUUUAAGCCAUAAUUUUUAUUUUUAGAGUCUACUUAACUACAUCAAGUUGUGGUUGAUGGACAAAUGAAUAAUAUAAAACGCAUCUUUAACUGAUUGACAGCACUUAAUUUAACCCAUUUUGCAAAGUACUUUUUUUUGUAGACCCGACAAUUGGCUUUGGUUAUGUGAUCACUUUGAGUCGGAAGCCUUCAAAGUAAUACAAUUUGUUAUUUCUUUAAUUUUGUGGUGAACAAUAACUAUAUUAUUUCAAUUAUUAUGAGUAUGUUAAUAUACAAAAAAUUACUUGUAUCAAUAAAAAAUAUAUAUAGUUAUUACACUUCUUAAUAUAUGGAUACUAGUGAUAAUUUCUUAAUUCUUCUUUAUAGAGGCGUUCAAUGGCCAACUCCAGUAACCGAAGAAAAUUACCAUAUAUUCAUCGAGCGGGUACUAGUAUCUUUGUGGCUACUCGGCAUAAAUUGGUAUAUUUUAAAGUUUUUAAUAUAGCACGAUUUAUUUUUUAUAAAUUUUACUAAUGUGUUAUAUUAUAAAACGGAGCAUGUGGUGAGAUUGCUUUAUUCAAAGGAUAUUAUCAUAAUGGAAAAGGAUGGGCCAAAAUUGCCUUAUUCAAGGGAUGCUAUCAUAAUGAAAAAUAAUGGGCCAACGAUGAGGCUAAGAAAAGAUAUGUUAGUUCUCACUAAUUUUGAAUAUAUGUUAAUAAAUUAUUAUGUAAAAAAUAUAACUAAUAUUUUUUAUAUUCAUAUGUGUUAAAAGUGUUUUAACUGUGGUUAACAAAAUUUUUCUAACGGACUCUAACGGCAGGGACAUAUCUGAAUACAUCAAGACUUUUGCAGGGAUAACGUAUGAAAGUUGAGCUUUGCAAGGAUAUAUUUAUAAUUCACCAUAUUUGGAGGGACGUGUAUGCAAUUAAUCCUAUAACAAUACAAACAUAUAUAUAAGAAAGAGAGAGUAAGGUAAGUGCAUGGAUAAGUGAUAAAACUUUACGCGGAUAGCCAUUAUCGCGAGCCAUUAUUAGUGGAUAAAUUCACCAUAAAUAAGCUUUUCUCAAUUACUUUUAACAUAGUCCCUAUACAUUUUUUUUUUAAUGUUUUUUACUCAAACACAGUAAAUAUGUUAUUAUUAUUAUUAUUAUUAUUAUUAUUAUUACUACGUGUUACGAUUUCAUCUCUAAAGGACUACUAUUUUAAAUUUUUCCACAAAUAUCUUCCACGAUUCGUAUAUUUAAUAACCGUUUAGUGUUUUCGAAAUAGAAAUUAGAAAAAUUUUAUUCUUAUUAUUUAAUAUUAUUUUGCAUGAUAAAAUCUUUUAUUAAUAAAUAUUAUAAAUACAUGUCAAAUUUGCUGAAAAAUUAUAAUUUAAAUUUAUUUAUCCAUUUCAGACAUACUAUAACAAUUAUAAACUGAAUUUAAAUUUCUCAAAUUUUUAAUAUCUAUUUCAAAAUAUAUUAUAGUGCAGAUGAGAUAAAAAGCAAAAUUACACCUUUUGUUCUCAAACUUUAAUUUAUUAUAAUUUUUGGCUCAAAAUUUUGAAUUGUUAUAAUUAGAAUUUACAAAUUCAAUUUAGUUGGUUAAAUAUUGAUAGACUAAUAAUGUAGAAAUAGCGUGAAAAUAUUAUAGUUAACGAUGUGGCAAUAAUUGAAAUACUGUACCACUUCCACAUCAACAAUUUAUAAAUAUUUAGAAUUGUAAUAAUUCAAAAAGUUUAAAUAAGAAAUUAUAAUAAAUUUAAAUUUUAGGAUUAACACUACAACAGAAUUAGGUUAUAGGGACACAUGUGUCACGCCCCGGGGUCCCUUUUCAGUUUAAAACAAAGCGGAAAAGCGUCUGAGUUUUUUUUUUUGAAAACCUGACCCCAGAGUAUGCCAGAUCCGCCACAAAUACAGGGAAUCCACUGUUCACACGGACAANAAAACAUCUACUAAUGCCUAAAUAUAAAGCCCAAUCAAACCAAGAAUAAAAGAUUACUCUACUCAACCCACCACACCCAGUCCAUUUAGCCCGAUUACAAACAGAAAAGAAAAAAAAAAGAAAAAUCAAUUACUAUCUUUUCUUCUCUCUUCACUCAAUCCAUUGAAAUUCUAGACGAAGAGCCUUUUCUGUCGUUCUCCUCCGCCACGGCAGCCAACGAGAUAGAGGUUCGGCGGUUGUUAAAUGCUUAAAUAAGUGUUGGUAAAUUAGCAGCACUCUUUUAGAUUAUAGCGACACUCUUUAACUAUCACUAUAUACCUAGUGACCCCACAUAUAGCAACACUUUUUAAAAGUGUCGGUAAUUUUAGCUAGUAGCACUUUUUUGACAUGUACCUACAUUUAAAAGUGUCGUUAUAGACCGUUUUUAUUGUAGUGUAAAGUGUCAUGCUAUUCAUAGUUUGAGGACUAAGUGUAAUUUUUCUUGAGAUAUUUAAAAAAAACUUUUAUGUAUAAUGGACCAAAUUGCAAUAUCUGGAAAGUACGGGGAGUAUCCUUCCAUUUCAUCCGUAAUUAAGUUUUCGUUGAAACGGAAACGGAGCCGUCCUCGUCCCCCGUUUCGAGGCUGCGGAGGCUCGGAGCCGAAGCUCCAGGCUAGGGAUAGGGAUAUGUGGGCCCCACCAUAAGCGGCUGUCGCGUGCCGCAUAGAAGGAAUCGCCACGGAGAAACAGGAAACAUGGAAUGGGGGAUUACAAUCCCCUUUUAAUGAGAAUGAAGUUCCUAUGACCGAGCAAGAAAUUUGUGCUCAAAUACUUGGCACUAGAUAUGGAUACAUACCUAGGCGAGGACAUGGUCCAACACCUAAGUCACGACAUGAAGUUUCGAAAAAUCAAUCAUCACAAUUGCAGGAAGAAUUGACAAACACAAAAACUCUUCUUGAGACCCAACAAUCUCAAAUUGAGACUCAACAAUCUCAAAUUGAAGUUUAACGUAAGGAGAUUGAAUGGUUAAAGACUAUGGUGCAACAAAUCAUUCAAAUGCCACCAAGAAAUGAAGAUUUUGGACCAUCUACUACGUGGUAAAUAAGAUUUUUUGAGUAGUUUUUCUUCUUUUUUUUUUAAGUCAUUUGUUGUCAAAAUUUUAUAUACUUAUAAAACUAACUAUACAUAUUAACUAUCUUCAAGUAAGUAUUUUAAUAAAUUAAAAUGACUUGUUUAUUUGCUUACACAAAAUAACAAAGUCAAUGAAUAUUAAUUUAUUUAUCUAUCUUGUAUUAUUAUCUUAGUCUUGAAAUUGUAAAUGAAUUAUUUAUAUAAAAUAAUAAUUAAUUAAGAAAACUUUAUUAUCGCAUUAUUAAAUUUUUUUUUACUUUUUGUGCAGAAAUAUGCGAAUGGACUAUAUUGGAGCAAGCCAAGUACUAAAAUAUCUUCUAUUGGAAUGUCGGUAUUUUUGUUGAAAAAAUAUUAGUGACCAUGUAUUAGAAUGAUUAAUCAAGAGUUGAAUAUUUUAACUGUUUUAAAAUGAUACUUAGUUGGCUAUAUUUUGUUUAUUUGGAUUUGUAAAGAUAUUUUGAAUGAGAAAUACAUUUUUUUUUGUUUGUUUAUUUAUGUAUGAUGUUUGAUGAUAAUUUGAGUUGUUAAAUAUAAAAAAAUGUCAUAUAAAUAGUGGAUGGAUAUUGCUGCAGGAUUGAUUGCUGAAACUGCGACCAAAUUGUUCAUUGCUAAUAUAUAAUUGGUAGUAUAUAUUGACAGAUAAAUUUGCGACUAUAUUAUUGGUCGAAAAAUAUUUGUUGAACUAGUUAACUUGUAAUUAAAAUUGCGACAAACUAUUAUCGUCGCCAUAGUAUCAUAAAAAAAUAAAAUAAAAUAAUUAAAAAAUAAUGGCUUUUACUGACGAAACGAUAUUGUUGCAAUUAGGUUAUAUUUAGUUACGAAAAAUAUUAUUCAGAUGUAUAUUUAGCAACAAAUAAUUGGGCCAAUAGCGACCAUUUAUAUUGUCGCUAUUGGUACAUUUAUAGGGACAAAUCUUUUACUGUCGCUAAAUGUAGCAGCUAAUAGUGACCGACUUUACUUCGUCGCUAAAGAGUUAUAGCGACGGGGAGGUAGCGACGAAGCAGCGACGAAGAUAGUUUUGUCGCUAAAGAAUAAUAGCAACGAAAUGUCGUCCUAUAGCGACAAACAAUGUUGGUUACAAAAGGCGUCAAUUUUUGUAGUGUCAGUAUCAACCUGCGCAAACUCGAGAGCAUCAAUUCUGCAAUUUCACUGGGGUACCGGUACUUCUCCCCAGGUACCGGUACUCAACACUGAAAUCUUGCACUUUGCAGAUUUCAGUGUUAGAACUCCCCUUUCGCAUCACGCUGAGUCCGUUUUGCGUCCAUUCCGCGCCAAAACGACUCCGACUUGUCUCGACACCCACCAGAUGUGCCGACAAGCCACAGAUGCUGAAGUCACACAGACCGUUAAACACUAGGGACACUAUAAAAUCAGGCGAAACAAAAUUGUAAUUUCGAUAAUUCGGCAGUGCCGGAAGCGCUGGCACAGUCUGUUUGCAAAUCCGAUGGACGGAUCUCCUGAUAUCGCGCGAUUACCGGGAAGGGUUAAAAAAUGGCGAAUUGAAAGAAUUCACAGAAGCCCUACAUUUUAUGUACCGAUUUGCAUAAAAUCGAACUUGGGGGUGUGUUCGCGCAAUUUUCUCGUGCUGUGAGGGACUUAGCUAUUACAAAUUAGAGGACUCAUUUGCAAAAUUGCACCUAUAUAUAUAUGGCCAACUAGGGUUUUGUUGACCCAAACCCUAACCCUAGCUUGCCACCCUCAGCUGAAACCUACCAGCUACCUCACUACCCUCCCAUUCCUUUGUCGCCCGCACCCCGGUCGUUGUUGUGCACCUCGACUGCUGGAAGUCACCACCUCUCUUCCUCUCCCUCACAUUUGCUUUUUUUUCCUCCAUCUUUGCUCGAGAGCCUGGCAGGGUGAUCCCCCACCCUUGGGCCAUCUUCUAGUACACCACCGGACCUCCGAGGACCUCCCCCGCCGACUGUUGUCGUCCCUGAGUGCGGCCACCGCGAACUUUACAGCCUACAGCCAGCCUAGUACUGGUGCAGCCGAGCCUUACAGCGCCGUCCGGCCACCGGCAGCCAUCCUCCUUCCCUCCCCUCGACUCCAGGGAAGGCCCAUACCCUUCCUCUGGCAACCCUAAACCGCGCCGUGGCUGGAGAAGCCACCUGAACCCUGCGACGAGCUUGCUGAUGUGGUUUUCGUGUUGCCCCUUCCAGCGCGCGCUGCCGCCGCGCCGCCUCUCGCCGCCGACCAAUGCGAGCGCCGGCCCUCCCCCGCCGGUGGCACCUGCCUGCCGCCGACGCGCCCGCCUGCCGCCGGCGCGCCCGCCUGCCAUCGACCGAGCCCUAGCCCGCCCUGCCCUGGUGAGUCCAUUUAAGGUUUUUGUUGGGGUUUUUGGGAUGUUCUCGCUGUUCCUGCGAGCCGAGACUGUCCCGAUGCCUCUGGAGGUGAGCACGGUGAUCUCUGGUCAGUGCUGAUCAUGGUGCUCACCUCAUUUGUAGUUAGCGAGUCCCGGAUUCGCGUAUUCUGCCCGGUUUGCCCUUCGGACCGUGAGUACGGCCUUCGGCUUUUUGAUACCUGUCAGCCUGUGUCUCGGCUGACCUUGAAAAUCCUCGAUUUGCGGUAACGGUCCAUAAAACUCCGCUUUUCACAUAAAAUAAUGGAAUUGUUUGUUGUUUUAGGGGCUUUUAUGCAAAAUGCCAUCCUGCUACUACUACGGGCAACUUGUGUGCAUGGUGAGCGACCUAUGGACUGAUCGUCCAAGGUCCGAAGCCCUCCGCGGAAAUCGAAUAUCAAUUUCGGUGCAUUUUUCGAUGAAAUUCGCCGGCGGAAUGCGGCUUCGGUUCAGAUUUCAUCCGACGAUACUAGAAUGCCCUGUACCUUAUCUCUGAGCCUUGUUGGCUGGUCAUCAUCGUCAUUCUGAGAGUCCGGAGACGACGAGUGAGCGACGGUGGGUUUCGAGGUCGAAAAUUGACACUUUCGGAAACCGGGAUCGAAACGAUUAUCCGACGAUAAUUGUUUUGAUGUGAGACUUUAUGUUGCUGCCUAGAUAUUCAAUAUGAUAUGUUUUGAGGCAGCGGGUGGCUCGUGGCUCAAGUCGGUAAGUUCCGGGACCGUUAGUGGGUCCCGGCAGCAUCCCGGUGUGAUUUUCGGGAUAUCCGGUGAGUCACGGUUAUUGGUUUUGGAAAACCGAUUCCACGGGGAAACGUAUGGGGUUGUGAGUUGUAUAUUAUGGAUUAGUAGGAUUGGACACUGACCCGGUGGACCCUUUGUAGGUCCGGUUGACGAUCUGAUCUAGUUUCGAGAUAGGCACGACAUUGGUACAGGUAGGUACUUCGAUCCGAAGUCAGUCUAGUGGUGCACGCUCGGUGACGUUCCCUCUACCCUUUCUCUUUAUGUUUUCGCAUUACCCACAUUAUUGAGCUUAGCACCAUAUGACUUCAUUACUUGUUACUCUGCUGAGUUACUUUUAUAUUCGAUUAUCAUGAUCUAGGAGUAGGGUGGUUAUUGAUUAUACUUGUGCGUGAUGUGACACCAGUUGUGACCUAGUUGGUUGGUUUCGAGAUUCUGCUUGUUUGAUGACCGAUUCGGUCGGCAAACCCUGAGGGGUUGAUCGUUGGCUACUUGCCGACGGUUAUUGAUCAUAUUUUCAUCGAUCGCCACUGCUCGUAUGCAUUUCACGUACACCAGCGGUUUGGCCACCGCAACGGUGUUCUUUUCCGAAAAAGUGGUCGGAAACACCAACCCCUGAGCCCAGGAGCUUAUGCUAAAGUUAUAUGUCAUUUAGAGCGACAUGGCACUUGCCUAAGGUCCUUAAACCGACAUAGCGGAUUCUGAAUUGGGUAUUUUGGACUGAUUGUCCGAUUGAUGCAUGUUAUUUACAGUAGAGGUAGUUGUAUAUACACAUCUUGUUUCUUACUUGACGUUGCUACUGCAUUACCUUUCAUAAUUACCUUUUUGGUUACCAGUGAGUACACUCGCUCUCGUCGGCUUGCGGUACCCACUAAGAGACCUUUGUUGGUUUCUCACCUUCCCUAUUUCAGGUGAUCUUGGAGGUGCGAUUCGGGACGAGGCUUGACGCACAUAGCUAGUGAGUGGUAUAGGUCCCAACCUAGUGGUAUUUCUGAUUCUAGACCCUAUUCCCUACUUUUGAUGAAUAACUACAAUAUUGUGGUUCAGCUCAGUUUAUUCAUGUUUCGCUUUACUUGGAAUAUGACUUUGGUUUUGCAAUCUUAAAUAAAUUAUGAUGGAAAUGGUUUUUUACCCCUCGUGAUAGCUCGCUGUUAAAAAAUAAGGGUUUCCGUGUAGGAAACGGUUUUCAAAAAAGUUUUACAGCUUUUUGUGAUUUUAGUAUUUCAAAAUAAGUUUUCGGGUGGGAAACACUUUCAAAUGAUAGAUGUGAAUGUAUGAAUGUAAUUGUGAAUGUGUUGUGAAUGGAUGUGACUGUAACUUGUAUGAUGUGCGACGCCGUGCAAAUACAGAGAAAACUAUGUCCGUGUAGAUAGAGAAUUCUCUGUAUUUGUGGUAGGUCUGUCAUUCCUUAGGUCAAGGUUUUCAAAAAAAAAAAAAAAGGGCACUUUCCGCUGAUCCACAAACUUUUAAGGGACCCCGAGGUGUGACAGGAAUCCUAUCCUCCAUUUUAUAGAGUUGUUCAAUUUACACCAUUCACUGUUUGUUUAGUGCAGCAGAAAAUAAUUUAUGAAAACUUCAAAUUUUGGAAUUAUUAGAAAUGUAAAGCUCAAUAUCUAGAGGAAAGAAAAAAUUAUAAAAAGAAAAUAGAUACCAACGCAUCCAAAGGAAUACUUCAACUUAGAUGUUUGUCAAAAUUAAAUAAGAAAAGUAGCAGUAGAGUUCAUACCGUCCCACUGGGAAGCUCUGCUAGAUAAACUUUACCCAAUCUACUCUCUCUCAUCAAAUUAUCUUCUCUAAAGCUGUUUGUGUAUUGCUGAAGGGAUGAAACAGCAAAGGAUGACACAGAUGUAGGGGCAUUGACUUUCUCAGGUGGAGCGUUCCUCGUGGCAUAUUCAGGUGGUGCAACUGGAUUUACUAUAACCCUCUCCACAGAAGCAGGUGGCGGCACAAGGUUUACUGUUACUCUUUCCACCGGAGGUGGAGGUGGAGGUAGUGGCAUGACAAGUUCGUCGGUCCCUUCCAAAUCGAUUACAUGAUCUAUUUUCUUGUCUGACGUGCUCUCUGAAACUGCCAAAAACAAUUAGAAGUUAUUCCCUUCAGAGAUACUUAUAAAUACACCCUAAGUAAUCUAUUUAUGACCUUCAGAAAUAGUUUCCUACAUGCAUGCCCCUGUACAAAGUACAAACAGUAAUGCCUCUCUCUAAAAGAUUGUUAUACAUCAAAACCAGCUAAAAUUGGCGAACCUUCAAUUUAAGAUAAGGGGAUUUCUUUUAGAAACUGCACUUGCUAGGGAUGUGUGUUAAAGAUCAGAUCCUAUUCAAAUAUUUAUGUAAAUAGAUGAUGUUGUAUGGAUGUAUAAGUAAAGGAUCCUAUUAAGUCUAGACUAGUUAGUAAAGAGACCCACAGAUCACGUACUACCCACUCCACUCUUUGAUUUUCAGGUCGGUUAGCAAAUCAGCCUCGCAUCCUAUCGAUAGCGAUUUAGAUCACCUCCCCAACCAAGCCUGCCUAACCUAAUUCUUUCUGGGAAAUCGAUCGUGACAAGUCGACCUAAUGAAAGCACCUGUAGAUUUUAGAUAGAAGCCCUUUGUCCACCGCUGGACUCAUCCUCAAUGCCUAAAAUUGCCUAGUUCAGUCGCUUGUCUGCCACUUCCCAUGCCCGAGAUUCCCUUAUGGGUAGCAUCCUAAAAAAGAGAUAGCUUUGUGGUCAACUUCUAUUCUGCUUGUUGGAAGCUUUUUCCGGAUCUCUUCCCGGAUCAACCUACUCAAUAUCCGAAAGAGGGUAGGCUUUUUUGGCGGCCGNAUAUUUUUAUUAUUUAAAUUUUAGCAAAAUAAAAAUAUAAAUGCGAGCUUAAUUAUAAAAAGACUUAUUUAUAUGUAAAGUUUUAACUAUUAGAUAAAAGUCUAAUGGAUAAGAUUUUAUAAAUUUAUAUCUUAUAUAUAUUUAAUCUAAUUUAUUUAAUUUAUUAUUCGUUGGCCAGCUCGUAAGCCAGCUCGUGUUCGGCUCGUUUACACCCCUACCUAUAUCUGAGUAGCGUGAUUUAGGAGUAGAGCGGUUGAUGAUUAUCUCGAUUCAUGAUAUGACAUCAGUGUGACCUAGUCGGUCGGUUGAGAUUAUAGUUGAUGACCUAUUCGGUCGGCAUACCCUAAGGGUGUGAUUGUUGGCUACUUGCCGACGGUUAUUGAUUAUAUUUGUAUCGAUCAUCACUGCUCGUAUGUAUUUCACGUACACCAGUGGUUUGGCCACCGCAAUGGUGUUCUUUUUCAGAAAAAUGGUCGGAAUGAGCCUAGCGGCCCACUACUAGGGUUAUAUGCCAUUUAGAGCGGCGUGACACUUGCCUAAGGCUCUUAGAUCGACAUGGCGGAUUCUGUAUUAGGUACUUUGGACUGAUCGUCCGGUUGACACAUGUUGAUGUACAGUAGCGGUAGCUGCAUUUAUAUACCUUGUUUCCUCACUUUACUUUGCUACUGUAUUACCGUUUAUAGUUACUUUUUGGUUACCAGUGAGUACACUCGCCAUCGUCGACUUGCGGUACCUAUUGGAAGACCCUUUGUUGGUUUCUCACCCCCCCAUUUCAUGUGACAUUGGAGGUUCGAGUCAGGACGAGGCGUGAGGCACGCGCGUAGCGAGAGUAGACCUCUCAGCUUGGCUAUCGUCGUAUCUAGACUCAUCCUUUUUUUAUUUGAAUAAUAGAUUAGAUAAUUGUGGUUCAAUUUAUCAUAUUUAACUUGAAUUGGUNACAUUGGAGGUUCGAGUCAGGACGAGGCAUGAGGCACGCGCGUAGCGAGAGUAGACCUCUCAGCUUGGCUAUCGUCGUAUCUAGACUCAUCCCUUUUCUAUUUGAAUAAUAGAUUAGAUAAUUGUGGUUCAAUUUAUCAUAUUUAACUUGAAUUGGUUUUUAUUUUAUCCUGGUUAUGACUUUUAAUAUUGAUCAAGAAUAAUUGUGAUUUUCGCAUGGUUUUAUGAAAAUGAUUUUCUACCCUUCGUGGUAAUUGAUUUUUAAAAAGAAAAGAUUUCCGUGUGGAAAAUGAUUUUAAAAAGGAUUUUUCGCUUUUUAUGAUUCUAGUAUUUCAAAAUGAGUUUCGGGGUGGAAAACAUUUUAAAUAAUAGAUGUGAUUGAUUGAAUAUUAAUCGUGAUGUUGUGAAGUGGUGAAUGUAUACAUAAUUUGUGCAUGCUUGUGGUUAUAUCUUGUACUUGUGCGACGCCGUGCAAAUAUAGGAAAAACUCUAUCCGUGUGAACCGUGGGUUUCCUAUAUUUGUGGUGGAUUUGGCAUCUCCUGGAAUCAAGAUUUUCAAAAUUAAAAAAUUUGGGCACUUCCGCUUUUUUUUGUACUUAAAAGAGAUUCUGGGGCAUGACUGACGGUCUUUCUCUAUAUUCUUUUUCUAUUUUUUAAAGUCAGAUAUAAGACAAUCUAUUCGAAAUUCCAAACAAAAACCUAACGAAAACCUAUUUCCGGAAAAAAAAAAAAUGGCUAAAUUACAGAAAACCCCCCUGUAAUAACCCGCUUUUUCACUUCCCCCCCCUGACAUUUAAAAACCUACAUUUUGCCCCCUUCUAAUUACGAAAUUGUGCACAGGGGGCUACGGCGUUAACGGAAAGUGUGAAAUGACGAUAAUGCCCUUACCUUUUACUUGACGGGGAGAGAGAGGGGAGAGAGAGAAAGUGGAAUGUCGUUCGUUUCGUCGUUGGAGAAAAAAAAUCUAGGGCUCGAUCCUGCGAGGAGGACGAGGCGAUUCGAACCCUAGGCGUAGGCGAAAGGCAAGCGCUAGCUUUCGAACCAAGGAGAAAGGCGAGCGAAUCGACAUAGGGACAGUGAUCGUGCUUGAACGAGGACCCUCUUACUAUGCUGAGGUAUAAUUAUAAGCUUUAGUGUUGAAAUGUUAAUUUAGUACAUGUGGUCCCUAAUGUUUCUGUGGUUGAAGAAAUUCCUUUGGGUUUUGUAGUUUUGCAUUAUUUUAUUCCUUAUUUUAGUACAUGUGGUCCCUGAUGUUCCUAUGCUGAGGUAUAAUUAAGCUUUAGUGUUGAAGGUUGGUUUGAUAUUAUCUGAGCUUUUGGUCCCACUUUGCUUUAUGUUUUUGUAUGUGAUGCAUUUAUAUUUUUGUUUUAUUUNUUUUAUAGUCUCCCGCCAUUUUAAAGGGUAGUUUGGGUAUCUCCACUAAUAAAUUUCGAAAAAGCAAACAGAACACUCACGGAACCGUGACGGCAAGGGGCCCUGUGCACAAUUUCGUAAUUAGAAGGGGGCAAAAUGUAGGUUUUUAAAUGUCAGGGGGGGAAAGUGAAAAAGUGGGUUAUUACAGGGGGGUUUUCUGUAAUUUAGCCAAAAAAAAAACUCUGCUAAAUCUCAACGGGAAGCCUAAGGCAGCGUUUGGUUUGGAAACAAGGAAGAAAUAAGCCCUUGUUCCCCCUUUUGUUUCCAAACAUAAAUUUUUGUACUUGAGAAUAGUAGUUUUCGGAUUUCUGGAAUAAUCUAGUAUAACUUGAUAUAAGCUUGAAACUGCUAUUUCACCCGAACAAAGUUAAUUAAAGUCUAAAUUUAAUUUUAAUUAUGGUAUUAAAUCAUUAAUUAAUCUAAAUAAUAUAUUUAAAUCAUUAUCAAUUUCUUAAAUAAUAAAAUAAUUAAUUACUUUAUUACUUAUAAUUAAUUGGCUAAUUAGUUAUUAAUAAUUUAAUAUGUUUAUUCAUAAACUAAUAUACAUAUUAAUAAACCAUUAAUAUUUUUAAUGGUUUAAUAUGUUAUUAAUAUGUAUUUUAGUUAUUAAUAUGUAUAUUAGUAAACCAUUAAUUAAUAUGUAUAUUAGUUAUUAAUAGUUAUUAAUAUACAUAUUAAUAAACCAUUAAUUAGCUAAUUAGUUAUUAAUAUGUAUAUUAGUUUAUUCAUAAACUAAUAUACAUAUUAAUAAACCAUUAAUAUUUUUAUUAAUCUAAUUAAUUGUUUCUACUAGUUAUGUAAAUAAAAUAAUUUACUAACUAAUCAUAAACUAAUAUACAUAUUAAUAAACCAUUAAUAUUUUUAUUAAUCUAAUUAAUUUUUUCUACUAGUUAUGUAAAUAAAAUAAUUUACUAACUAAUUAAAAAGUUAAAUUACUUUUUAUAAUUAAUUAAUUAAUUAAUAUAUUUUUAUUAUCUUAUAUAAUAUUCAUAGUUAAUAAAUUUAUUAAUUAUUUUUAAUUAAUAUUUUGCUGUUAAUUAAUUAGAUAAAAUAUUUUUAAUUUAAAAUUAUAACUCUUAUCUUUUUUUGNUACAUAUUAAUAAACCAUUAAUAUUUUUAUUAAUCUAAUUAAUUGUUUCUACUAGUUAUGUAAAUAAAAUAAUUUACUAACUAAUUAAAAAGUUAAUUUAUUAAUUAUUUUUAAUUAAUAUUUUGCUGUUAAUUAAUUAGAUAAAAUAUUUUUAAUUUAAAAUUAUAACUCUUAUCUUUUUUUGUUCCAAACUAACCAUCCACAUACUAUUUAUUUAUUUUAUUUCUAAAAACAAUCUAAUUUUUUUAAAAUAUAAAAUUGAUUUAAUUAUUAUUUAUAUCUAAAUUUGUAUCUAUUUUAAAAAUAAGUUAUUCUUACUUAUUUUCGAAUCAAACGCAGUAUAAAAGUACGGCUUAGUUUAGUAUUGAGGCCUAUCGAUGGAGUUGGAAUAAAAAUAUAUAGAAAUAUAUUUCUGUCUUCUACGAUGAACCGAAAAAAAUAUAUAUUAUAGUCGACCCACAAUAGUAAACGAAACGUAAUAUUAUAUAUAAAAUUAAAUAAAAUAUUUUUGAGCGUACUUUUCCGUCACUGGUACAGUAACUUUUUCGCAAUCGGACGCGAAGCCAAAUGGUGAAACUGUACUCGAAGCGUGAAAUUAACGCUGCCGAUUGCGUGGACACAAUAGUGGCUAUCCAGCCCAGGAUAUCGCGAUCCCAGAAGUGAGAGAAAGAAUGGCCGUGGCUCUUCUCACCCAUCCUCCCCCUUCUCCCACACUCUCCCAUUCCCCCUCUUCUCUCCCCUCCAUCUUCUGGUACUUCUUCUCCUGCUGUACUCUCUCUUUCUCUCUCCUUCCACUUCAAUUAAACGCUAAAAGAAGAUUCUUGAUUGUGGUUUCCAGGGACCGGAAUCCGUUUUGCAGAACAAGAACAAGAACAAGAACAAGAACAAGAACAAGAAGAUGCCCGCUUCUGGGGAGAUCCCAUGUCGUUGUUUCUUCGUGUUGUUCAGAGCCUACUUCAACAAUGACGAGCUCACGGAGGAGAAGGGAUCUCGUGUUGUCGACCCUCGCGGCUUCGUUAGCACUGGCUCUUCCAUGUUCCGGUAGGAACUGAGCCUCUCUUUGUUCUUGCUAUUUCGCAUGUAACUUACCUGACCUGUGGACCACUUUGAUUCCACUAUCCGGACUUUCAAAAUUUUGAUAUACAUCAACCUUUCAAAAUUACUUGAAUUUGGGAGAGCUUAAGAAUACAUAAAGUAUUUAUUUUAAAAAACAGAUUUAUGAAGCAAGUUAUUACAAAAGUUCGGUGUGCAGAGCACAAGCUUUUUAAGAAACUUUUUUUUUGCUUUGGCUCUAGGAUUUACAAUAUUUUAAGUGCUUUUUUUUGCAUUGAGCCCCCUCUCAUUUUUUUUUUUUUAAAUAGUCCCAUAAAAUUUAUAAUUGCAAAACUGGCCCUAUCCCUGCCAUGCAAGUGCCACGUCAGCGGCUGUGGAGGGUUAAGUUGAACACGGUGCAUGAGUCACCAUGUUUAAACAUGGUGAACCAUUUACCAUGUUUGGACGGGCUAAACAGUAGUCAAGUUCCGUAAUGCAGAAGAACUCAAACAGCCUCGCAGUUUAGCUUAAACAUGGUGAACCAUUCAUCGUGUUUAGGACUUUUUUUGCAAUUGGCCCCGUGAAAAAAAUUUAUUUUAAAAAUAACCCCGAUAAAUUUAUAAUUGUAAAAAUAGCCCUACCGCUGCCACGCAGUCGCCACGCGGGCAGGCUGGAUGGCGGGUUUGGCAAGUUGAACACGGUGGACCAUUCACCGUGUUCAAACAUGGUGAAUGGUUCACCGUGUUCAGUUAGUUAUUCUGCCUUGAAAAAGAUGGUGUAUAAUAUGUUUAGGGUUUACAUCAAGCGACGCGAAUAAACAAAAGAAAUACGGUGAACCAUUCACCGUGUUUGAACACGGGUGAAUGGUUCACCGUGUUCAACUUGCCAAGCAGGAGCCCAGCCCGCCAACGUGGCAUUUGCGUGGCGCCUGCGUGGUAGGGGUAGGGUCAUUUUUGCAAUUAUAAAUUUGUCGGGGCUAUUUUUAAAAUAAAAUUUUUCUAGGAGGCCAUUUGCAAAAAAAAACCUCGUGUUUAAGCUACUGACGUGGCGCUUGCGUGAGGGGAAUAGGGCCAAUUUUACAAUUAUAAAUUUUGUAGGGUUAUUUGUAAAAAACAAAUUUAUGAGGGUACCAAAUGCAAAAAAGGCCCAUAUUUUAAUUUUUACCGUACCAUAAAAAGGGGCCUUUAUGCAAGUUCUGAAAAAGUUGAGGGGGUUCAUGGCCACUGUGAGCCCCUCAAUAGCUCUAUCCUUGGAUGACUCUUUCUGUAGUAAGUAUAAGUUCGUUACUUUAAUGAAUUUAUAGUUACAUUGAUUGCAUAAAAUAUACUAAUUAAGUCUACAAGGAUGAAGAUGUAUUCAAAUUUUGAAGUUAAAGAGUAUCAAAUAAAUUGAUUGAUUAGGUAGCAAGAUUAAAAUUUUUAAAGGUUAGGUAGUUAGAACAAAAUGGGUGAUAGCUGAGUUAACUUCUAUACAACUGUCUUGGUUGUACAAAUGCAUGGAGACCCUUUAAUGUAGGAUAGGCCAUUUUGAAAUAAACCCCUCAGCUAUUAUUUAUUGGAUUGAGACCGCCCUCAACUCCAAAGUUUUUGGAAUUAAGUGAUAGUAAGUCAAAAAAAAUUGAAGUUUUAUAAAUUCAAAUUUAAUGACUUUAAUUGCUUUUCAGUAAAUGAAAUUAUCUUAACUAACGAUUAAUAACUAGUAGAGUCAUUAAAUUUGAUACAUAUACACACACACACACAUGCACGCACUUAUCGAGUAUGAAAUCUCAAAAAAAAAAAAAAAAAAAAAGAACUUGAGGGGUUCUCGAACCAAAAGAAAAUAGUUGAGGGGGCCAUUUUACGGUGGCCUAUAGUUGAGGGGGCCUCUAUGCAUUUUUACCUUUCUUGAUUGAUUUGGGGUAAAAACAUAUGGAACUCACCUAAACUAUGACCCAUUUUGAUUUGACUACCUAACCUUUAAGAAUUUUUUUUUAAACUGACUAAUCUUUCAAUUUAUUUGAUUUGAGCUAUUUGGUAACUCUUUUUCUUCAAACUCCAGAUGUAAUGUUUAUUAUAAUAGACUUAAUUAGAAUAUUUAUGUGCGAUUCACAUGACUACAUUCUUAUUAGGGCCUGUUUGGUUCACAGUUUGUAAUAUUCUAGAAAUCCUCCAUAUUUUCUAUUGAAAAUAUUCAAAUCAGUACCAUUCAACUCAAGUUGGAUAGUUGUAAAAGGUUUUAAUGAAGUAGUGGAAUUAUUGUAGAUUUCUAGAUGGUAGGAAUACAAGAUUGUCAUGGGUUAGGAGGUAUCCUCAUUAUAGGAAUUAUUAGCAGUCCAUUAAUAAAAAUAUACUAGUUCUUAACAAUCUCUCCCCAAGUGGAUUGCUGGCUUGGUUAAUUUAACAUAGUUGACAUUCCUAAUAUAAAAUAUACAACAUUUUCGGAAUAUUACAAACCUUGAACCAAGCGGCCCCUUAAAGUAAGCAGUAUGCUCAGCUUUUGGAAGAGAAAAGUAACCAAAUGACUUAAUUCAAACCAAUUUAAACAUGAGGCACCAAAAUUAAAACUUUUAAAGGCUAAGUAGUCAGAUUAGGACAGGCCAUAAUUUAGGCAUGUAAGUUCCAUAUGUAUUUACCUUUAUUUAUUUUAUGGUAUCUUUUCAUUUUCUGUCUAGUGAUGUUGAAAGUUAGGGGAAAAGUUCCGAGCGCGACCUAAACUUUGCCUGGAUUGCAAUUCACCACCUGAACUAUAAAACAUUGAAAUUAGGUUAAAAAUGAACUGACCUGAAGUAUGGCCCAUUUAUAAGACAACCCAAAAUUUGAAACUUUUGAUUUUACUACCUAACCUAUCUGUUUACUUUGGUUGAAGCUAUUUGGUGACUCUUUUUGCAACGUAAUUAUGUGUCGUUUGUUUUAGAAGACUUGUUUGGUGUAUUUCAUUUGAUUUAUGUGGUUGCACUCUUUCUAAAGUAGCUCAAAUUUUAUGAAAAAAAUAAUCAUCAAAUGACACAAAUCAAAUGGAUUGGGAGGUUAGGUAGUUGAAAGUAAAGCUUUUAAAGGUUAGAAAGUCAUCCGAAAACAGGCUAUAGUUUAGUUCAGUUUCAUAUUUGCCUAAAAUUUACCAUCUAAACAAGCAUCCUGUUGCAAUCCACCACAAAGUCUCUUUUUUUGUCAAUUUGCCUAGACAUAUGUUAGAAAAAUUAUUUAGCUAGUUGAACACAAGAAAGGGCAAGGCAGUCGUUUCACUCGAAACGUGACUCAUGUGCCAUCACACGACUACCGAACAUCUAACAAAUUGACAAAAAUAUAGGCUUUGUGGUGGAUUGCAGUGGAAUUAUUCUUUAGGUAUGGUUCGGGCAAAGAUUAGGUGAUUUUCGGGUUUUCUAGCCCUGAAAUUAUGUUCAAGAGCUAUACUACUGUUGCAAUCCAAUUACAUGUCAGAAGUUAUAGAUUUAAUUCAACUUUAAUUACAUCUGGAAUGGAGAAUAAUUGUGAUAUUUCAUCAUCUAAUUCAUGCUGUGUUGAGUUAAUAUAUAUAGUUCUUGAUUGUAGCUGCAGGUUUUUAGUUAGGAAAAUUAACAUAUGCAUACACCUUAGACUCGAUAACUUAGGGCUUGUGGUAUCUUAAGAAAGUAGCAAUUGAUUUAAGUGCUUUAUUAGUUUGUAUUCUUCAUAACAGUGCGAAGAAAUUGGGAGCGAGCUGCUUUGUAUCAGAGCUUCUGAUGAGCUUAAGUUUUAGGGAGAACGGCAAAAAGCCUCUGGUGAUAUAGUGCGUUUGCAGUUUAUACCACACUGGUUUAAAGUAUAGUCUUGAUGCAGCAUUUUGCUACCCUUUUUAACAGCAAGGCAUUUUGGGAAACUAAAAUCAUAUGGGGCGGGUAGAUAUAGGAUGUGGAGGAUCAUAAAAUGAGUGGUUUGACAGAUUUGGAUUCCUAUAUAUCCACAAAUCUAUUGAGUUGCUUGCUUAUACUGAUUUCUUUUUUCUUUUGAAUCUUUGGGUUGCGUAUGUUGAUUUAGUCAAAGAAUCUAAUUUUCUGCUGUAUUUAUAAUCUUCGAAAAUAAUAGUAACUUCUGAAAACAACAAAAGGACAUCGAUGCUGAAGAAACCUUAUUUUCCAUAUCCUAAACCAACUAGCAGGAGAGCAAAAUGUUACAUAUAUCAUAUAUGUGCUGAUGUCAUUUUUUAUAAAUAAUUCUUAGACUUGUUCACCUUCGCUCAUUCGUCAAUAAUGUGGUUAAGUACUCGUCAAAUGCAAUUGUGUGCAACUUAUUUAAUUUGCAGGCAGAGGUUGAUAGAUGCAACUUAUGAAAUAGCAACAAUAUGGCUUGACUAUGAGUCUUCUAGGUGAUGAUAUAAUCUAAUUUUGUGGAUGAUGGUUUCAUGUUGAAUCGUUGAUGCAUGACAACCCCUUCACUCGCCUGUUAUUAAUUGUGCAUACUAGCAGGCAAGACGAUCCUAGUGAAUAAGUUUUCAUUGCAAAUGCUUCAUUUUCAACAUACUAAUAUCUAUUUCCUCUUUAGAGCAAGAUACAUGAUCAUUUAGUUCAUUAUCUGCAUAGUUAGCCAGGAAAGCUUCACUUCGUCUUAAACUGUGUUCUACUUGUUUGUUUGUUACAAUUCUUGUCAACAUACUAAUAUCGAUUUCCUCUUUAGAGCAAGAUACAUGCUCAUUUAGUGCAUUAUCUACAGAGUUAGCCAAGAACGCUUCACUUCUCAAACUUUGUUCUACUUGUUUGUUACUAUUUUGUACCUGAUUUUUCUUUGUAAUUUUCUAGGUUCGCAUGCUGUUGUUGAGUUGGAUGAAGAUGUGAAGAUGGCUUUGCUACUGGAUGAUAUAAAUGCAUACUCUUUUCUGUACCCUGUUGAAUUGCCUGCGAAGAAAUUUUCCUUUAAGUGGUAAUUUUCAUAAUUCAUCUGCUCCGUCUAUCAUAGUUUGGUACUAUUUAUUGCUUCUUUUUGUUGAUUCAUUUACUUCUUAUCUGUGCUUGAAGUUUUAUAUAGUAUUUUACUGAAAUUCUUCGCGGCAACAUGAUACUGAUCUAAUAUCGAAAAUUGAAUCAAAAGAUCAACUUAAAAAUGAUUAUUAUCUUCUCAUUUCAGGAAGAAAAUGGAAUUCAGAUAAUGUCAACUUCUAUUUGAUCUGUUUCAAUUGCAUUAAAUCAACCAGAAUAUGUCUUCAGUAAAGCUGCAUUUCUAGAGUUAAAGACCGGUCCAGAAAACAAAUUCUCUUGAUCGGUUGAUCUCCUAUUGACACUCCCCUGCAUUCUCCACCCCCUCUUUUUCUCUGGCAGUGUUGCCGGUUACUGCAUAAAUAUCGGUUUACGAAAAAAAAAAUGAUAUUGCAUAUUUUAUUAUCUUAUGGUUGGAGCUGUUGUUGUCUCGAUUGUUCCUUUGCUACAUUGAUUUUGAAUUAGUGGCUUACAUUUUUCCAUGUUGCAUUUGGUAGAUGCGAUAACAUAAAGAUCUUUUCCUAUGUUAAGUUGAUCAAAUCUAGCUAUUUUUCUUCUGUUUGCAGGGUAGAGUCCAGAAAGCCGGAAAGAUACUCAUCUGCUGCACCAUUAUCACGUGAGCUCCAUAUCUCAUUGAACAUUGAUGUUGAGUAUUGCUGCCGUUCAGUUGCAAUACUUUGACUUAGUUAUUUAAUCAUUAUUCUGUUUCAGUUCUCUAGACCAUUAGCUUUUUGAAUUCUUUGUAACAUUUAGUGUCAACAAAAAUUGUUACUAAUUAAUAUAUUACAUGUUAUGCAGCUGAUGCGCGACAACGCAUUGUCUCUGAGCGUGUUGACAUGAUCAAUAACCUUGUCAUCUCUGUCUCGGUAUACAUGGAAAUAACUGUUCCUUCCAUAAAAAAGUAGAGUAUAUUUACUAACAGAAUCCUAUGAAUUGGUAGCUUAAAUAUAUAACCCUGUAAAUUCUGCUUUUUCAGAUACGCGCUUAAAAGAUGUUCUUUUAUAUAUGCCUUCGUACUUGCAGAAAUUUCCCUCUGCAAUAAAUGGUUAUACUAUGAAACACUGCUUUCCUUUGUAUUUGAUGAAAUUCCGACCUAUAAGUAAGGCUGUUUUGGGAAAAAAAACUACAUUUCAAUGGUUAUUUAAGAAAAUUCGCCUUUUGCGCAGAACACAGUAGAGAAAUUUAUAUGUAAUAGAUGAUUUUUGCAAGCUAAAUAUGCAAAGGCCCCUACAUUUCUAUUCAGCUUACCAUUGUGUUGUUUUAACUUCCUACAAGUUGAUCAUGCUAGUGCCGAGCAAUAGAGCCUUCUGAUAUUUUUACCUGCUAACUUUGAUUAAGUUGUAAAUGCUCCUGUUCCUUAUAAAAAAACCCAUUUUGAGUAGACAAUUUCUCCUGAUUAAAUCUGAGCUCUUUCCACCAUCUCAGUUCGAGAUUUUUAAUUUUUAUUCUUUGUUGCAGGUUGGUCCUCUGAAUUCACGCUUCCUAACUUCAAAUGACAAGAGUACGUGGAAAGCAAAAGAUGUUGCUGAUUCUGUUCUAUCUGAUAAAUCUGCAUUGGUAUUCAAUUGCUAUAUCUGCAUAAAGUAUCGAGAGAUCUCAAUAUAUGUGAUAAGCAACCUGCAUUCACAACUAUGAUUUAAUAAAGGUUUACAUGUUAGUGAGCUUUCUUGAAGUACACCGAAACAGAUCCUAUAAUUUGGAAAUAAUGGAACUAGUAUAAAUUACGUAGAUUUCCAUAUUAUAUUGAGUAGUACUGCUUGUUUACAUUGAUUGAGGAACUUCUUUUGCAGCGUGUAACAACUAGCCAGCGCAUGGCUGAGAGUUCAGUUCUUGAUGCACAUUCCACAACUGUAAGAUUUUGUCGACAUAUGAGUUGAUCUCACUUUCCUUUCUAAAAGCAUUUGCCUUUAUAUUUAACUGUUACACUAAUAACAUAAUUGUACUGUAGGUUGAUGGUGAACCAUACUGGUAUUAUGAGUAUCUAGUUCGAAAAUCACCAACAAAUUCUGUGAGUCCUCGUAUAUCUCUUAAGUGUCUGGUUCUUGUUACUUUGUUUUCCACAAUUUCCACUAACAUAUUAAAUUCGCGUAUAGGCAGGUAAAUGGUACUCAUGAUAAUUUAUAAUUUCUCAGGUGCAAGAGCCAAAUUUGUACCGGCACAAUGUGGCAGCCACUGCUGAGCGAGAUGGUAUUAUUAGCUCAUGAACUUCUAUUUCUUUGCGUUUGUUUCAUUGAUUUUAAUCCAACUCUAGGCUCACCAUAGAUAACAACAUUAGCCAAAAAAAAAAGCUACGUUGUGCUAGUUCAAAAAGCUACAUAUAUACUGAAAUGCUGUUGUGCAAUCUUGUUUCUAUUUGUUAUCGUGAUUUUCUUGGUUUCUUUGAUAAUUUAUGUGACAAUCCUGAACCAUAGAGACCACUUAAACUAGUGAAAUUUGCAAACCUAGCAUCCUCAUUUUCUUUUUCUUUCUAUGUUUUGGUGAUUUUCUCUUCUUUACUUCUUUUUUUUUUUUAUUUUUUCUUUUUAAACUGCAUCCAUACGGCUCUCAUAUGGUUCCAUUCUGAUCAGGCUAUCUUUACUCACUGAAUGCUUCAACUCUCAGCAAGCAAUGGGAAAAAGUAAGUUGUUGCAUAAUAGAUAUCUCUUUUGGUUGUUAGUAUUUCCUUAACUUUCUUUGAGGUGCAGGAUUUUAUUUUGGAUUAAAUACUAGUAUAUCUCUGUUAAAGUAUUAUAUGCAUUCCUGAUUGGUAUUAUGCGUUUGGUUGGCCUUUGUGCUUGCACCUGUGUUUGCGGCACGCAACUGCAAGGCCAAGCCUUUUUGAGAAAGCUCCGAUUUCAGAGCUUUCUCAAAAAGCUCUGCUAACGGGCUGCACUGCUUGGCCAAACAUGGCCUAUGUCAUCUAAAAUUUAAUUUUGAUGUACUUUACAGUUUAUGACCAAUGUGGUCUAAGUUUGUUGUCAUGUUGAUUAAUAUAACAUCGCAGUUGGGUUUGAUCUUAAUAACCAUCAUGAUGCUUAUGUACACGGUGACAUGGUCUUGAAGUCUAGCUUUUGUGAUGGUAAUUUUGCAUGGUAGAGGUUGAGAGCAAGGUCGGAAGUCAAAUAGGGAAAACAUCAUCCAGAUGAGACUAACCUCACUGGUUCUUAUGAGUGAUUGAUACCGUAUUAGAAUUUAUGAGUGAUUGAUACCGUAGUAGGAUUAGAUGGCAUAAAAAAGCAAGGAAUCCAUGAGGAGAAAUAUAAUUAAACUUGGUUGGUACGUCCAGCAAGGAUCAGUUAGGUAGAAUUUUAAGGCUGUUGUGACCUCUUUCUAUCGCAAUAAAUGAUUUUCAGUAGUAGCUGGAACAUCUUUUCAGUGAAAAAUCUCCUGGACUGGUUUAACAGUUUACUUUUUAUACUAUGCUAAAGAGAUAGAAGGACAAAGAUGUUUGGUCAUUGAAGGUCUUCGGAGUCUUGACCUUAGCCUGCUCUAGCUUUUAACAAAGUUAUGCCAUAAGUUCUUGGAUAAAUUUCACUACCCAUUAGAUGGUUCCGUUGUAUCACUUAGGUAUCCUAUAGUUACUAUAUCUAUUUUUUUUGAAUGAACUUAUUUCCUUCCAUCAAAAGUAAGCAUGUAACUGUCCCGUACACCAAUAAAACACGUAGAAACCAUCUGAUCUGUUGUGUGGGGAUGGCGAGUGAACCAGAGAGGGUCAAAUGCUAGUAUUUGUAAGAGAUUUCGAAUCGAAAUCAGGGAAGAAUUUGGUAAUUUGAGGGGAAUCAAAGGUCCCUAUGGCUGAUAGAAUUAGUUUCUGGUUGUUUAUAGAUGCAUGCGCCAGUCACUUGAUUAUUUUUAAUAGACGAUUAAUUGGAGUUAUUUAAAGGAAACUAGAGCAGUAACCACAGGGCUCGUAUGUGAUCGGAAUGAAACUACAGUGUAACAAUGUGAAAAUAUGCUAAAUCCUGUGUGGGAGAGCAAAUUCAUACAAAGUGUUGAUGUCUUCAGCCUUUAACUAGUACCUUAUAUUUUGCGAUUAUGCAGAUGGGGCCUUUUCUAGAGAGAACAGUGGCAUCUUUUCGCCUUCUCCCGCCGACGGAGAACUAUGUCCCGCCGUACAAGGACCCAUGGAGAUUUUGGUGACAAAGAGCCCUCGUUUUGCCUUAUCCACCUAUUUUCAUCUUUCUGCAUACUUUUUUGCUCCGAAGGCCCUAUUUGAAUGCUGGAAUAAGUUAUUCAAUGAUAUUCUAUUUGGUACGAGGAUUUUUAAUUAUGAUUGGAAGCUAGGAGUGUGAUCAAAUGUCUAUAAUGGAAUAGCAUAUUCGGUCAUCGAGUCAUUUUUUCCAAAAUGAGGUAAAUAACAUCAUAAGUGAAAUAUGCUGCUAACCUUUCGAAUAGCGAAAAUCAAACUUUUUUCUUACAAUCAUAAGAAAAAAUCCUCAUAAUAAGUAAGUUAUCAUCGAACAACUUAUUCUGAUAUUCAAACAGGCUCGAAGUGAAGUAGUGAACAAAAAUUUUAAUGAGGUGCUGCAAGGCUGUGAAGUGAACAACAAUUUUGUGAGGCAUCAGUUUGGGCUUCUUUUUCCUUUUCUGCCUCCAUGGCUUGUAAAGUGAUGUUUAUGAUAUGUGUACAUUUAUGACAGGCCAUCAAGUCUCUAAGAUAAGAAAUUUUGUUUUUCAAGGCAGUAAUGUAUGAAACACUAGUCACCACUUUUGGCUUCUAUUUUGUUAUGGUCUGUUAAGAACUCUUUUAUGUUGCUGCAGACAGUGAGGAGAGGAUUUUAACAAAUUAUAGCUGAUCUUGAUCUUGAUCUUGGUUGUUUUAUUAGACCAUUAAACAAGCGAACGCCUUAUGUCAAAUUUGAGAAUUAGCGAGAUCGACUCCUAGAAUUAUAAUAGUAUUUAUUCGGUUCGAUUCCAGUUUCUCUUGUAAUCCGAAACUAACCGAACCAUUUCCGCUCCUGCUCAUUGUGAGCAAAAGUCAUCUUCAGUUGAUAUACCAUAGUAUUUUGAGAAUGACACACAAAAACCGCACCUGUGGACUCUGCAUAUAGUAUCUAAAAGAUAAAAGUAAGUUUUAUCGUGCGCCGGGUGCACCAUACAUAUCCUAUUUUUUUCUCCCCUAAAUUUUGUUAUAACUUUGUAUAUAUAUAUAUAUAUAUAUAUAUAUAUAUAUAUAGAGGGCCUCUGUGCUUGUAAGUUGUUUUCGAUUAUAGGACAUCCGAUUUGACGAUCCGCUCCAUUAAGCAUAAUCUACGCUAUUGGAACUAUCCAGAAACCAAAUUUUAUAAUUUUUCGACAUCAUUUACCAAGCGAUCACAGGGUCUCAAAAAUGACUAUUUUAACGGCCGAUGUGGCACAUUUUUAAAUUUAACGGUGUAGAAGUUUCCAAAUUAUAUGAAAUUUUAAUAAAAAAUUCUACUUAACAUUAAGAGUAAGAACAAUACUUUCGAUUUGAAAUUUGAGUCUUUUAUCACUGUUUUUUAUGAGAUUUUUAUUUUCAGCCGUUCAUUUGAGGCUACUCGUUCACUAGGCAAAUAAAGUCAAAAAAUUAUGAAAUUUGGUUUCUAGAUAGUUCCAAUAGUGUAGAUCAUGUUUAACGGAACCGAUCGCCGAAUCGGAAGUCCCAUCAUCGAAAACAACUUACAAGCACGGAGGCUUCCGUACUUUCGAAAGCAUAAGAGCCUAACUCUAUAUAUAUAUAUAUCUCUAUAUAUGUUUACUAACCCCUAUGUAUAUAUCUCUGUAUAUGUUUACGAACCCCCUUUUAUUUGGCAGAUGCUACAAUCCCCCCUCGCUUGAGAAGAUUCGCGACCUCAAGGAUCGAAGUCCAGGAAUUGGAAUUUCAAGAACCGAUAGUCUUCCCAGCUCGCGGCCUCCUUUCCGAGGUUCUCGCACUCGACCCGCACUUGGCUUACUGCUUGAUUUCCCCUCCUGAUCAUAUGUCGGUCCAANNNNNNNNNNNNNNNNNNNNNNNNNNNNNNNNNNNNNNNNNNNNNNNNNNNNNNNNNNNNNNNNNNNNNNNNNNNNNNNNNNNNNNNNNNNNNNNNNNNNNNNNNNNNNNNNNNNNNNNNNNNNNNNNNNNNNNNNNNNNNNNNNNNNNNNNNNNNNNNNNNNNNNNNNNNNNNNNNNNNNNNNNNNNNNNNNNNNNNNNNNNNNNNNNNNNNNNNNNNNNNNNNNNNNNNNNNNNNNNNNNNNNNNNNNNNNNNNNNNNNNNNNNNNNNNNNNNNNNNNNNNNNNNNNNNNNNNNNNNNNNNNNNNNNNNNNNNNNNNNNNNNNNNNNNNNNNNNNNNNNNNNNNNNNNNNNNNNNNNNNNNNNNNNNNNNNNNNNNNNNNNNNNNNNNNNNNNNNNNNNNNNNNNNNNNNNNNNNNNNNNNNNNNNNNNNNNNNNNNNNNNNNNNNNNNNNNNNNNNNNNNNNNNNNNNNNNNNNNNNNNNNNNNNNNNNNNNNNNNNNNNNNNNNNNNNNNNNNNNNNNNNNNNNNNNNNNNNNNNNNNNNNNNNNNNNNNNNNNNNNNNNNNNNNNNNNNNNNNNNNNNNNNNNNNNNNNNNNNGGUUUACUACCGAUUUGUUUUUGAUGAUAGAGCUUCCAAAUCGACGAUCGGCACCGUUGAACAUGAUCUAGACCAUUUAAAUGAUCUAGUAAUCAAAUUUCAUGAUUUUUUGGCAUCACUAACUAAACGAUCAAAGGGUCACAAAAUCUAUAAUUUUAAUGGCCAAUAUGGUGAGUUUGCUCGUUUAACGAUAUAGAAGAGUUCAAAUCAAUUAAAUUUUUGUUAAAAAAUUUAUUAAACUAUUUAAAAUAAGAUCUAGAACCUAGAUCUCAAAUAUAAAAAUUGUAUCAUCACUUUUUGAAGGAUAUUCAUUUUCAGCCAUUCAUUUUUCUGUUCACUUGAUGGACAAGAGAACAAAAUCGAAAAUGUGUAAAAUUUGAUUUUCAGAUAGUUUAAAUAAUUUAGAUCAUGUUUAACGGUGCCGAUCAUCAAUUUGAAAGCUCUAUUAUCGAAAACAAAUCGGUAGUAAACCGAGCCGUUUACUACCGAUAGUAUUCUAGCAAAACUCUAUAUGAGUUUGACUGGGCUACUAUCGGUAAUAAACGAUUUGUUUUUGAUGAUAAAGCUUCCAAAUCGACGAUCGGCAUUGUUGAACAUGAUCUAGACCAUUUAAAUUAUCUAGAAAUCAAAUUUCAUGAUUUUUUGGCAUCACUAACUGAACGAUCAAAGGGUCACAAAAUCUAUAAUUUUAAUGGCCGAUAUGGUGCGUUUGCUCGUUUAACGGUAUAGAAGAGUUCAAAUCAAUUAAAUUUUUGUUAAAAAAUUCUUUAAACUAUUUAAAAUAAGAUCUAGACUCNUAGAAAAUUAUUUUUACUAUUUAGAGUAAGAUCAGUACCUCUGAUCUUAAAUUUAAGUUUUCUAUCAUAAUUUUUUAUAAGAUUUUUAUUUUCAGCUGUUCAUUUUUAGACUACUCGUUUGAUAGGUAAAUGAUUCCGAAAAGUUAUGAAAUUUAGUUUCCAAAUACUUUCAAUAGUGUAGAUCAAGUCUAACGGAGCCGAUCGUUGAUUUGGAACUGGCAUCAUUGAAAACAACUUUGUAGCAUGGAGGCGUCCGUGCUACCGAUAGUAUACUAGCCUAGCUCUCUCUCUCUCUCUCUCUCUCUCUCUCUCUAUAUAUAUAUAUAUAUAUAUUUUUUGAGAGACAUGUACCAUGCUACCUGCUUCAUUUUUUUUUUAGAAAUAAAUUUAACUGAAAAUGUGAAUCAACUACGGUUCGAACUUGGGACCUCGGAUAAUAACCACCAAGCCUUUUGCCACUUUCACUGGGGACGUAGGUUUAGGGCUGAUAUUUUGACUUUAGGGUUUAGGGUUUACAUUUUAGGGCUUAGGUAUUAGGGUUUACAUUUUAGGGCUUAGGUAUUAGGGUUUUAGGGUUUGAUAUUUGAGUUUAGGAUUUAGGACUUACAUCUUUGUUUGGUUCGAGGUUAAGGGGGGGAUAACCCCUUAACCCCGAAGUUAAUCCCUAACCGGGGUGGGGUUAACAAACCCCACCCUUAUCAAGUUAUCGGGUUAAACCCACACCCCCACCCUCCUCCCCUCCGAUGGAAUUGGGGGGGGAUUAACUUUAAUCCCACCUAGAGAUGUCAACGUGUCGGAUUCAGGGUGGAUUUUCAAAAACCCGAACUCGAAUCCGACUCCAAACCCGAGAGCCAAAUCCGAACGCGAACCCGAACCCGACGGAUUUUAAAAAUCCAUAUUCAAACCCGAACCAGACCAAAAAUUUGAAACCCGAACCCGAACCCGAAAAUUUGAACCUGAAACAAUUAUUUUUUUUUACAAUAUUUCAAAAUAUAUUAUAUUAAAUCUUAAUUUUUAAAAUACAAAUUCAAAUAUAACAUCUAAUAUAUAUAUAUAUAUAUAAUUCAAAAUAAAUUUGGGUUCGGGUUCGGGUUCGGAUCGGGUACAGUCAAAAUUCAUAUCUGAAUCCAUGUCCAUUGGGUUUCUAUUUUUACUAUCUAUAUCCAAAUCCAUAUCCAUUUAGUAUCGGAUAUAUCUAUUUCAUACGGGUUCGGGUUCGGAUAAACUUUUGGAUAUCUAAACCCAUUGACAUCCCUAAUCCCACCCCAAUUCAAAUUUUUAAUUUAAAUUUUUAAUUAAAAUUUUAAAUUUGAUUUUUUAAAUUUAAAUUUGUAUUUUAAUUUUUUUAAAUUUAAAGAUUUGUAAGCUUAAAAUUUUGACAUUUAAUUUCAAAUUAUUAAUUUUAAAUUUUAAAUUUUAAAUUAUUAUUUUUAAUUUUUUAAAUUUAAAAUUUAGUAUUUGAUAUUUUUAAAUUUAAAUUUAAUCAUAAAUUUAAAAAUUUAGAACUUCAAAUUUUUGAAUUUGAGAUUUAAAAAUUAAUUUUUAUUUUGAAUUUUUAAAAUUUUAAAGUUAUUAAUUUAAAUUUAAAAUUUUAAUUAUAAAAUUUAAAUAUUUAAAUUUAAAUAUAAAGUUAUUUUUUUAUUUAUAACAACUCAUUAUCCUUCUUAUCCCAUCUACUCCAACCAAAUACUAUUUUAUUUAUAUCUGGACUAAACCCAAUUCUCAACCAAAUACAAAAUCACUCUAACCCUACCUUAACUCUGAACUUAACCAUAUCCCUGGAAUAACUAGUUCUUACUUAACCCCGAACCAAACGAAUAGGGUUUAGUGGGUGGUUAAUUGAAUAGUAUGAUCCAAACAAUGAAAUUGAUUAAAGUAUAGAUCUAACAGCUAAAAAAUCGAUAGCAACAGAGUCCAAAUACUAUUAAUAGUAUUCCAGCUCAACUCCAACGGCUACAAUCUUAUUAAUAGCACAAAGCACUUGAUGCUACCAAGUUUUUCGCCGUUAGAUCUAACUCUUUGACCAUUUCAUCCUUUAGAUGAUACUAUUCCACCAAUCACCCACUAAAUCUUAGGGAAUUAUUAUCAUCCUAAACACACAUCCCUGCAUUCAAGGGCCGAAAAUCUAAGAACACUAAUGAAUUGUUACUAUUAAUAGUAUUCUAAUCAAGUUCUAUACACA